rnacentral:lncRNA from 1 species
AGUGCUGUUCGGUUUUGCGGACGGAGUGUUUAUGAUAUCAGGCAUUCCACAUCGUGGAAUCAUCAUUUGUUGUAUGGUACUAGAGUCAAGGUUACCAGUAACAUUCAGGUGAAAAUAUUCUUGAUAUGUUUUGAGUGCUAGCUCCAAGUGGUCAUCAAAAUCACUGCUUGUGAGAGUGAUAUCACUUGGGUAGUACCCAAACUUUUUGAGGUAUUGUUUGAGCUCAAUAAGCCCUUCCACAGUUUGGCCCUUUUGAAUCCCCUCCAGCCCUUGAAGGAAGCUGCUAAAAGAUUGCCGAUGCUCGGGUUUCAAAGUUCUUGCCUGACCUCUGAAGGACUGGAUAGAAAAGAUAACGAGGAUUGCUGAUAAAAGAUGGGAAAGUUUAGGAGCCAUAUCGUGUGUUGUUUCGGAGAAUGGCUUCAGACGUGGGUUGUGGCUUUCAAUUCUAGUAUCGGAUGGCUAUUUAUAGACAUAUAGUAUGUUGUAUUGGCAUUAGGACCAUAGUUAUAAAACCCGACCCGGUAGUUGACCCGGUAAAAUGACUGGGUCACGGGUCUUGGGGGUCAACCCGGGUUAACCCGGGUCAACCCAGGUCAAUAACAAAAGGAACACAUUAAUAUGGUUCUUUUGACAUAAAAUAUCACAUUAACAUAUAUGUUAGCAUAAUUAAUAAGAAAAUAUCACAUUAACAUAUAUACUAGCAUAAUUAAUUAGCAUCAAGGUGCAUUUAUCUUCAAAUAAAUAAAUAUUUAACAUAAUUUAAAGAUAUUAAAGAUAUGGAUAAUAAAAUAACAAGUUGUUCUAGAGACACAAAAUUUAACAUAAUAGAUAUAAGGGGACAAUAUUCAAACUCUAGUUUGCAUUAGAAUCUAUAAAUCAACAUUUUAACCCCAUUUUACAUUAGAAUCCAUAAAUCAACAUCUUCAGCUGCAUAAAAAAACAAAAGAUGAGUAAAAACCCAAGAGAGCAGCUACUGGCCUCAUCUGUGCCUUCUAGGAUCCGCUAGUAAAAAUGUCCAACAGAUAUCAAGUUCUAUAACAGUGUUUGAAAUUUGAACGUGAAACUUAUCAUAAAAAAUUCAAAUUUUAAUCACGGGAGCAUCCCGUGUAAACAAUAUUCUCUUUGUUUUUUUCCCCUUACAGCUAUGCUUUUUUCAUGCUUUUUAAUUUUUUUCCCCUUAUAGGACGAGCAAUCAAAUAAACCAAGAUGAGAAAUUAAGGAAACUGGGACUAUGAUAGACUGGGAAUGUAGAGAGAAGAAAUCACUAUGUUGUAUUCAACAUCAUGCCCAUUAUUGUUGCAUCAUGAAUCAGCUUCUUACUCAGUAUUAAUUCAAAUAAGAAAAUUAAAAAACUUGCAAUAUGGAACUCAUAGAAGCAAUGAGAAUAACUGCUCAUCAUCAUAAUAAUUUGAUAUUCAUCUUGCCAAAAAGCAUACAGGCAAUUUCAAUUCGGCAGAGUAAUGAUUGAUUCAUGGUACAGAGUAAUGACAGACAUGUAUGGCAGUAAUUGGUUUAAAUGAAUGUGCACAAAUUGGAUUAUUCCAGAUUAUAAUGUAAAAACAUCAUCAGAUAAAAGACUUGUAAAAAUAUUAAUUAUUCUAGAUUAUCAUACAGAGCACAAACCAAGAGGAGCAUGUUUUUUAUAAUGUAUAUUCAUUAAUAAAUUAUUAUGAAACUGUCCUGAGAAUGUUUGUUAUGAGAAAGUUAAAAAAAAAAAACAUGAAUUUAACAAAUAAUAAAUCAAUGACAGAAAGGGAAGUGAAAUGGGAGAUCCAAAAGGGGCUAGAAGAUUCAAAGACAAAAACCCAAAUGUGUAAAGCAAGUAGCAGAGCUGCAGAUGCGAAAAUCCAGAUGCGAAAAUCAUAAAAGCAAAUAAUUUGACUUGGACACAAUAUCAACGUAAAAGAGAUAGAGCACCUGUAGAUUUCUCCAAUGAACUCUCUGUUGAUUGUUGUCUAUUCUGCAGGAGAUACCGACAGAAGUAAAUCUCUUGGUUGUUGUCUAUUCUGCAAGAAAUUAGGGCAAAAACUCUAGCUUUCCUUUUGCUUUCCCUGAGUCAGUGAUCGUUCAAUAAAGUUAAUAUAUACACCGGUCUCACCCGGGUUAGCCUGGGUCGAACGGGUCACGGGUCGACCCACCGGGUCGACCGGGUUUGACCGGUUUUUUUCUUAGGCCGGUCUUUUGUCUUACCCGGAUCGGUCCAGGUCCCGGGUCGGCCAGGUCCCAGGUCGACCCGCCGGGCCGGUCCGAGUUUUAUAACACUGAUUAGGACUACAGAAUAUGUCUUGAGAUUUACUACUGUCCUUAUUUUUGUUAAUUCUAAUUGCUUAUUUUCAAAUAUUAAUUAUUUAGACUACAUUUGUCCUUCGAGCAUCUAAUUUAUUUAUUUUCUUUCAUAGUAAUCGAUGAAAUUACUAUCUAAAUAUUUGAGUUUAACUUUCAUUUAUAUGGUUAUUAUUAGAUAUCAUUAUCCAACAAAAUCAACAACCCUGAGGGGUAGCUUAACUAGUCAGGUCAUGAGUUUGCUCCUAAUGGUCACGGGUUCGAGUCCCCUCAGGGCCACUGGAGGCUUACAUGAUCAUUAACUUUAGGGCCCGUGGGAUUAGUCGAGGUACACGCAAGCUAACCCGAACAUUUAUGUUAAUAAAAAAAAAAGAAAGUACAUCUCUCUUCCGUGUCUCAUAAAUUUAAAUUAUUAAAUGACUAAUCCUAAAUUGAAUCAAAGUUUUAUUUAUCAUUUCAAUAAUUUUUUUUGUCAUUGUUAGUCUUGAAUGAUUAAAUAUAGUAUAUUAUUUUAAUAUAUCUUUUUUUUUAAUUCAUUUAAAUAAUGCUGCUGAGAAGGAGCACUCAAAAUAGAUGAUUAUGGGUUUCCAUAUGUAAACCAUACAAGAUACAUAUCACAAAGGUGAUGAUCUGAAAAGUCUGCAGUCUGCUCAUAGUGUGUAGACGACCCAAAAAGACAAGCCAUAAGAUGAAGGAGUGUCGUGGGACAUAUUUUGAAAACUAGAGAAGAUGGUGCAUAGUAUUCUUGGGCCUGGUAUCUCGAAGUGCCUCCCAAGCUGAAUCAAUAGUGAACCUCUUCAAAGAAUGACCUCUCCAAACAUAGUGAUCUGAAGAGUUAAUUGGGCAUGGAAUCUAAUGCAGUCCCAAAUUUGUUAGAGGUCCUAACUAUCUAAAGGAAAGUCCCAACCACCAUCCUUAAUAAUGUAUGCAUCCUUUGCAUCCCAAGAUAAUCCAGUAGAUGAUAAAGUCUUGAAAGGCAAAAAGUCACAAAAACAUUGUCCAUAUGACAAAUAAUAAUCUAGCCAUAGAGAAGUUAGAGAGCCAUCACCAAUGCAAGAUACAAACAUACCUCUACACCAAUCUUGACUAUGAAAAAUCUUUCGCCAUAACCAAAAAGAUACCAAAGGUAGCCUAUAAAAAAUGAUCUCCCUCUGAGCAAUACAGAAUGCACCUAAGCUAACCAAACUGAGGAUCUGUUUGAAAGUAGCCUCCAAAUAUGCUUGAGAAUAGCUGCUCUAUUUCAAGUCUUAACCCUUUUAAUCCCAAGUCCACCCUCCUGCAGAGGAUAGAAAACUAAAGCCCAAGCCGCUUUUACCCCUAAAAGGGAAGUAGAUGAACUGUUCUAGAGAAAGGCAAUUAACAUGCCCUCAAUCUCCUAAUAAUAGAACAAGAAAGGAUAAACAUAGUAGACCAAUAUUCCUGGGAUGGAAAAGAGAACAUAUUUGAUCAGUUGCAAACGACCAACAUAUGUAAGAGAUGUCGAGGUCUAUAACCUGAUCUUCGAGAGAAUCCGCUCAACCAAAGCCAUGCAGUCACUAUGUUUUAACUGGGUAGUAAUAAAAGGAACCCCCAAGUAUCUGAUCGGCAAGGAGCCCAACCUGAAACCUAAGAGAUCCAAACGAGAUGCUUUCAAAUCAUCAUCUAUACUUGAUAUGAAAACAUGGCUCUUCUUUAGGUUGUUCAUCAGCCUUGAUAACACAACAAAGUCAUCCAGAGCCCUCCUCACAACACCCACUGAAUCUGUGUUUGCCUAACAGAAUAUCAUAAGGUCAUCAACAAAGCAUAAAUGAGUAAUACUCUCGUGUUGACACCUCAAGUGAUAGUGGUAUCUCUAGUUCUGGGUAGCCUUUCUAAGAAUACCACCAAGACUUUCAUAGCCAGCACAAAGAAAGUCAACUACGCGUUCGCUUUGGUUGCGAGACAGCUUGAGGGCAUACAACAUGUGCCAAAGAUGACUAAACUAUCACAAUUCUCUAGGUUAUUCAAAGACAAAUCCACUUUAAAAGUCAAUGAAAACAUCAAACAAGAUUGGAAGCUUCUGGUAUUGAUAAAAAAAUAAAUUAGAUGGUUUGAGAGAUCCAGUCACUAGUGAAAAAUACCCGAGGUGGAUAAAUCUAUCAUUGGUGACUUUCUUCACGAAUCUCGAAUUCAAAAUGGAAACUUCACAAGCUGCUGAACUAAAUAAGAGAGAAAAAAAUUAACAAUGAGGACGAGCUGAGAGAACAACUGGAAAAGCUCUAGGUAGAAUUGGGCACCAAUAAAGCCCUCAGGAUCUCCCUCGAGGAAUAACUCUUCACUGAAGAGAAACUGAGGAAGUUUGUCGAGUAACAAUUGAUAGAAAAAGACAAAAUAGUCAUGUCUUUAGAGAAGCAGCUGAGAGAGGGAAAAGUGGCUAGCAACCGAGUUGAGAAAGAGCGAGGAGAAUUGGGAAAAAGUUGGAUGCAAAACAACACCGAAUUUAAGACAUUGAAAGCCAAUUUCAAUGAUUGCCAAGAAAGAGCUGAUAUGUCUUCAAGGGUCCAAACAGAAUUAGAAAGCCGGAUUGAACAAUAUGAGCAGUUAUACAAAGAACAUGUGAUGCUUGAAAGUGAGUUGGCUGAAGAAAAAGCCAAAGAAAAAGUUGUUGGGAAUUCCAAGAUUGAUAAGAUCAACUUGUUAAAAAGAGCUUGAUAACGAAAAAUCAGGGCAAAACAUUUAGAGGAGAAAAAUAGGUUGUUGGAGCACCAUAAUCAGAUGAUUGAUACCAAGAAUAAUCAACUGGAUAGGAGCAACAUGUUGCUCUUAGAAAAGAUGAGUAACAUGGAUGAGCAUAUUGAUUGAGCUUUUAUCCAUGCUCGAAGAAUUCAUCUCAAUGCUCAACAAGUUGGGAGAGUUCUUCACUGAUAUCAACCAAGUAUAGUUGAAAAUGGUGCUUUUCUUAGGAAUAUAGGAAACAAAAGCUUUGUUUUCCCCCUGUAGAUGAUGAUGAAUGAACUGAUCCUCAAAUGUAAAAACUUUCACUGAACAUUAAUGAAAAGGGCUUGGACCUAAUCUUCUCAUCAUCAUUUUGUAUUGAUGAGUAUAAAUAUUAGGAAUUGGCUCAAAUCAAAUUGCCUCGAUAAUUAUAAAAGGAUCAGAAAUCUUACCCAAAUGAUGACAUAUAUCAGUCCAGAAAUUUGGCUAAUCCACAUCCAAACAUGUAUCAUCAUGCAUAAUUAUACAUUCAUAUGCAAUUGUGUUUAUGAAUUUCAAAAUGUGCCCAAUAGGUAUUUGAAAUAUAGGUCCCCCUACUAAAAUCUAUAAUACCAGGCUUCGUAAAAGGAUGUAAAAUGAAGAAAGGGUUGACUACCAAAAAGAGCUGGAUGAUGUUAAGAAUAACAUGGCUCGGGUGACUAGUUUACUCGACCAACUCUUGCGAGCAUAGUUAGGGGAAGGGACAUCCAGUCAUCAUUUGAAUUUGUUAUCGCCGUUAGCAGCUCUAGUUAUCAUUGACCAACAAAACUUGGAAACAAAUCCUACCACUAGACCACAAGGAAUAACAAGAAAUUCAAUGACUUACCCAAUUAUGCCUGCUCAAGUACCGACCAUAAUAGAUCUAACUAUGAGGGAAUUCCAUGGGGUUAAAUCUUUUGGUGACCCUAAACAAGAUAAGUGGGUUGCUUGGGAGGAGAGGUUUAGAGUUGUUAAGGGAUUUGAUGUCUGUGACUUGGUUAGAGCAGUUGAGAUAUGCCUAGUACUAAAUGUAAUGAUACCUAAAGAGUUUAGAGUACCAGAAUUUGUCAAGUACACAGAGUUAGAAUGCCCUAAUACAUACCUAAGGUCAUAUUAUAAUAAAAUGAUGGAGGUCAUAUAUAAUGACAAGUUGCUCAUCCAUUUCUUCCAAGACAGCUUGACUGGUUUCGUCUUAAAUUGGUAUAUGACUUUAGAUAAUACAAGGCAAUACAAAUUCAAUAUUGAUAUCAUUUUAGACUGGACAAGUUUAAUAGUGAUGGAGAAGGGCAAUAAAGAAAUAGUGAGGGGGUAUGCUUAUAGAUGGAAAAACAAGGCAAUGCAUGUAUAAUUGUCUUUGUUAGAAAAAGAAAUGGUGACUUUAGUCGCCAAUACUUUCAAAUCUCCAUACUAUGAGUACCUGAUGGGUAGCUUUACCCAACACUUUUAUGAUGUCAUGGUUAUUAUUGGGAGAAUAAAGUAAGGGAUAAGAGCCGACAGAAUAUCAGAACCCACUAAGAAGGAAGGGUUUACUAGGAGGAAAAAAGAUGUUGAGGUAAGCAAUAUAGAAGAAGGGUACAUGGGUAAAAAGGAUUUCCAAACCCAAAGCUAUCACAUCCAAACCUAUUAAGCCUUGUCUCUUAAAGUACACAAUAUCAGCUUUGCCAAGUCUUUUAUAGUAAAUCAGCCUACCAACCCAUAAAAAAACCAAACUGAAAACAACCCAAAAAGAACAUACCAAAGAAACCAAGAACAACUCCCACCUUUACCAAUACCUCUAGGGAAAAUGUAUGCAAAACGGUUAAGUAUAGGUCAUGUGACCCCUCUUCCUUUUCCACCAUUUAAACCUCCCUUUCCAAGUUGGUAUAAGUCAGAAUUGACCUAUCACUACCAUGCUAGAAAUCUUAGCCACAUCAUACACUUGCUCAGCAUUUAAGAAGAAGCUCUUGCAAUUAUUCAAGGCAGGGUGAAUAACUUUUAAAGAUACCCCAACAUCAAUUUCAACCCUUUACCCAAUCAUGCUUCUAGUAGUGGAGGAGUAAACAUUGUGGAGUAUGAAGGGAAGAAAAAGCAAGUUUUAAGGGUAAACAUGGAUAAGCUAUAAGACAUGUUGUUGUAAGCCGAGUAUUUUCCAGUAAAAAAUGGAUCAGGUCCAAAAAAGGAUGAUGGUUUUGGUAGGUUCCACAAAGCGAUGGGACAUAACAUUGAGGGAUGUGAGGAGUUUUAGCAGAAGGUGAUAUAAUUGAUAACUUUUGAUCCUUUACAAAUAAAGAAGGAGGAAGAGGAUGAUGUGUGGGCAUGAUAAGUUUAUUAGGGAAGAAAGUAGAAGUGUGUAGGAUCCACCGUACUGAGAGUGGUCCACUAAAACUUGUUUUGACAAGAGCUACCUUUUGAGGAAAAGUUGUUGACCAUACACAUUUUUUAUUCUUCUGAUUCUAGAAAAACCAAAGCAAACACCCAUCAAGAUGGAUUGAAACUCCUUUAAAUAUUGUUUUUUAUUGCUUAAAUCUCUUUCAAAAAAACUUUGUAAUGGCUAUAAAGUGAAGAAAAUGGUUUUUAUGAUGGUUUUUUUAGUGGUUUGAUGAAAAAUUUGGGUCUAAUGUAUGGUGUACAUGGUAGAAUAAGUGAAGGGUAGUUUAUGUUCUUAUAUAAGCCUUGGCUCAUUAAUGAAGCUCAAUUAUCUUUAGCUUCUUGUGCCACUAGAACAUUUAAUGGCCUUAAACUGCCGAUUAAUUACUUUAUUGGAUUGAUUAAGUCAUCUCUUUAGGUCUAGGUAUAUGAUAUGACCCAUCACUUUAUUGGACUAAAAAAGGAUGGGUCAAACCUUAAGAAGUCUAAUUGACUUAACUACACCAUAACAUACUAGUCUUUAGAUUAAACAUAAGGUUUCCACAUAACCCAAUACGACAACACACUCGAGUAGAGGAGCAAACCAACUCCAAAACACAAGUUAGAAUAGGAAGGGCGUAACCCAAAAUUAUUCUAUCCACUCUCUCUAUAGUUGAUAUCAAGCGUUAAAUGCUCUCAUGUCCUCCUAUUAUAAUUAGGCUCAUAGAUUGGUGUUAGGGAUGCCCAUAGCCAGUGGAUAACCCAUAUGAUAUCAUUUCUUUACUCAAUAGUGAAUCACCAACCAUAAGAAUGUUAUCCUAAGUAAUUGCAACUAAUGUAUGUUUCAUAUUAUUUUCCCCUCACUUUAUCCUUAAUUUCAUGCAAGUUGGCAUGAUUUAUGGCUAUAUAAAUAUCUAUGAAUCACCAGGUAAGGCAAGUUCCAAUAACAUAUUUCUUAGUGCAUAUUUUUCCUCUUCGUAACUACAUGUCAUUACGACCCUGUUUGGGGUUGCGUUUGCACUAUAAUUUUAGUAAAUUUUGAAAUUUCUUUCUUCAAAUUAAUUUUUGUUAUGUAUUUUUAAAUCGUUUUGAUGUGCUGGUGUCAAAAAUAAAUUAAAAACAAAUACAAAAAUAUAUUAUUUUAAUGAAUUUCCAAACGAAAAACAAUUUAAAAAGCAACCUCAACCACACUUUCACAUCUCCUUUAAAUUUAGCAAACAUAUAUACUACACGAACUUGAAAGGCUUUAUUCCUUUUAUAUUUGUGAUAACUUAAGUAUUUGAGGAUCUUUUACGCUAAAAAGUAUUUGUCUUCGGGUAUUCAUGAUUUCCAAUGUUUUUCAACAAUCUACUUCUAAAUUUUCAGCCCAUUUAUUAAUCUUGAAAAGGUCUUAAUCUUGUGUGGUUUUCCUCACCCUCGUAAAAAAGAAAGUAAAUUAACAUGUCCUUUGCUCUUAUAUUUACACCUUAAUAAACACGAAUCCAUCCUAUGUCUUCCUCGUAAAAAGAACAAUGCUAAAUAAAUUACAAAGUAUUGAUUUCUUGGAGAGAAAAAUAUGGUACCUGCAUAAUUAAUGCCGAAAACAUGUGAAUAAAUUAGAAAGAAAGGAUUUUAUAUUAGCCAUAGUUUCAUAUAAAAAUGUGAAUAGUUUUGUCUUUAUUAAAUUUCCGGAAGUAUAUUCAAAAUAAUCAUCAAGUAAGUGGCCUUUGUUUCAUAACCUAAAGCACCGGUCUUCUUAUCAACAGCAGAAGCAAUCCUUUUUUUUUUUUUUCUUUUUUUUUCUAUUUAUAGGCAAAAUAGUACAAGGAACGCCUAUGAAGAGGCAGCAGGAAAUUGUAGCUAAAGGAGAUUAAAAACAAAUCACACUAUAUUACUAUCAAAACUCAUGCCACUGCUUCUGAUGAAGUACUGCUUCUAAAGCGCAAGACUUCAUCAGAAGCAGAUACCAAGACCAAUCAACUAGAGAAAAUUCAAUCCUAUGGGAGCAUCUUGGGUUUUCCUUUAUGAUGGGUAUCGUAUGUCCACAGCGUUACAACUGGAGUUUUGCUAGCUCCGCAUCAAACAACUCAUCACGUCGGUAUUAUGUAUUCAUCCUCGCCGGGCCAAGGCAAAAGUGUCGUCUUCAUGAUACCGAUUUCUCUUAUAAGGUAUGGAAAAUAUCGGCAUCAAUUCCAUCUCCAUCUCCAUCUCCAUCUUUCCUUGCAUCAAAUUUUUUGUUUGAUCUUUUGAGCCAGCAGUUUGGACCCAAUGAUGUAAGGGUAAAUAAUGAUUCAUGGUCAUCAGCAUGUGUAUGGGAUUUGGUAUUCAGACUUCUUAUGUUUACUCGUAUCCUCGGACGAAUCUUGAUGUCUUGUCGAUGCAGUCUGGCAACAGGAAGUCUAUGGGUUUUGGCUGUAAAUGGCGCCGAGAGAGCCCUACCAUCAAAGGCAAUAUCGUCUUCAGUUUCAUUAUCGUUUGUCCUGUUUACCUUUUUUAUUACGGACGAAAUGGUUUGACCUUCGAUUCCGGAUCAUUCUUUCUUGUUAGAAAUUUGUCUUAGAAAACUUGGCGUUAAGAAAUUAAAAGUAGAGUACACUUAUUUUUAAAUUUAAGAUGAUUGAAAAUUAUUUUUCUGACAAAAGUAUUUUUACAUAAAAUAUUAACUUGUCUAAAAUAAAUUAUGAAUAAAUAAUAAAUUAAUUUUAAAUAACUCUUAAUUAACAUAUUUUUUUAAAAAUUAAAAGCACUCAAUCUCACAUUGGGCACAAAGAACACCAAAGUUUUUAGAUGGGAAAUGCCCUAAUCUAAGUGGGCUUAGGGCAUAAUUCACACGCGCUCGCUAAGCUUGACUCGACAUCGAGCUCAAGCUUGGGGCUUGGGCUUGUUAUAAAAUAAUUUUUUGACCCAUAAAAAUUUAAUUUUUGCCAACCCUUAAAUAAAUAAUUUGAAUAGUUUAUUUUCAAAAAUAAAAAUAUAUGGUUUUUAAGGAAAAAAACUGUUCGGUUUUUUAUUCUUUUUAUGGUAGGUAAUUUAGGUAAAAUAGCAAGAAGUAAUUUUGGUAAUUAUUAGAGUUAAUUCCAUAUUAGUUUUUGUUCUAAAAAUCGGUAUAAUAAGGAGUUGAAGAAGAGAUGUUUUGUAUAACUUGCAAUAGUUUUUUUUUCUUUUUCUCCAUAGUUUUUUCAUCUUCCUUAACAUGAUCUUGCCUUGUUUUUACUUUAUUCUAGAGCUUAGGUUCUAGUACUUUAAGAGUGAUUCAGGGUCUUCUUAUUUUUUUUACACUAUCAGAAAAUCAAUGAAUACAAAUAGAAACACCAACGGAAAAAAUACAUCAGUAUUUUGUGGUGAUAUUUACCGAUCAAAUUUUUUCAAGUGCUAACUCUGUUGAUAAAUACUGACGGAAAUAUAUCAUCGGUAUAUACCGAGGGAAUCCCAGUUAGAAUAAAAGGAAUUAAAAAAACCAAACAGUACGAUAAUGUGUAAGUUUUUAUAGAUGCUUUUACCGAUGGAAUUACAGUUGAAUUCAAACAGACAAGUCGUACAGUGACGUGUCACUUAUACCGAUAUAAAUGUCGACGGAUUGAUAGACGAAAUAAUUUUAUCGGUAAAUCCAUCGGUAAUAUUUAAUAUAUGACUUGACGCUUGACCCAGCUCUCCCCCUCCCCUAUUUCUCUUUUUUUCAAAGCAGCCCCCCCACCAUAUCCCCUCUCAUCUCAAUACAACUCAUUCUUCCGUAAUUUUUCAGUUACAACAACACUCUAUUUGACAGCAUUCGUGUUCCGGUUGAAAUUUUAUUGGGGAUUUUUCAUCUUAAGUAAGCAAAUCUAUCCUUUUUUAUUGCAUAUUUUUGUAGUAUAUGUAUUUUGUUUGAAUGUUUACUUGUUUUAUUAUUUUUUCUCAAACAAACUUGUUAUAUGGAUUUAUGAAUUUGUACAUGUUAUGGUUUAUUUUAGGUUCUGUAAAAUUAUAUUUGUUUGCAAAUUGUUGAAACUUAUAUCAAAUUAUCGACUUAGGUGUGUUGUAAUAAAAUAACUAAUGACUUGUUUAACGACUCUAUUUUAUAUUUUUUUAAUUUUAUUGUCGAGUUGUAAUUUUUGUUAACGUGUACAAAUUUGUAUCUACAUAGAUAAUUUAUAAUGAAUUAAGAGAAGUAUUAAAGUAGGUUGAAUAAUCUUGAGUUAAACCAAUAUUUUUGCAAAUUUAUUUAGUUAACAUAGUUAAUUAAUACAUGUUGUCAUCAUUAUUUGAUAUAAGUUCGAUGGACGUCAUGGAUGAUCGUUCAUGAAUGUAUCGAGAUUCACCCCAAGGAUUGCGGAGGAUGGAUUAUUUUAAUGGGUUUUAGGGUUUUAUUAAUUAUGUAACAUCUAAUAUGAGAAAUAUUAGUGGAGGCAGUAUUAGGUGUUCAUGCAAGAGGUGUAAAAAUAAAAAGUUUCUCGAUUCAGAUGAUGUAAUGAUACAUCUUCUACACAAAGGGUUAAUGGAGGAAUACUUGUGUUGGUAUGCACACGAAGAACCAUUUGUUCCUCACGAGACCAUGGUAGAUAGGAUGGUUGAGUCAACUUCUAGUGCUAGCAACGUGCAUGGAGUUUUAAAUGACAACAACAAUCCUUUUUAAGACUAUGGUUAUGGAAACGAUUAUAAUGAAUCAAGGUCAUGAUGGUUAAUGUCCAAUUGUAGAUGAAAAACCUAAUGCAGACAUUGCCAGAUUUUUUUGAUCUUUUGAAAGAUUCUGACGAGCCAUUAUGGGAUGGCUGCACAAAUCACUGUAAAUUAUCGGUGUUGCACACGUGUUUACCAUAAAAUUGGAUUAUCGGUUGAUAAGGCAGGUUAUGACAGAAUUGUCAAAUGUGCGAGAAGUAUUUUACCUGAAGGGAAGAGGCCAAAAGAAAAUUUCUAUGCUGCUAAGUCUAUGAUGAAACCCCUUGGUCUAGGAUACCAGAAAAUUAACAUGUGUCCAAACUUUUGCAUGCUAUACUACCUUGAAAGUACUGAGCUAACCAAGUGCAGGACAUGUGGGCAUUCCCGUUAUAAACCCAGAACUAGUAGGGGAAAGAUUCUUGUUGCACAAAAAAAACUUAGAUACUUGUCAAUCACAUCAAGAUUACAGAGGUUAUUCAUGUCACUAAAUACUGCUGAGCACAUGACAUGACACCAAUCACAUAAUACGAUGGAUGAAGUGAUGACACACCUUUCCAAUGAUGAAGCAUGGAAACACUUUAAUAAUGUGCAUCUUUACUUUUCAGUUGAAUCAAGGAAUGUGCGUUUUGAGUUAGGUAUAGACAGAAUCAAUCCAUCCGAAUCAUUUGCUACUCCUUUUUCUUGUUGACCGGUUAUACUCACGAUUUACAACUUGCCACGAGGGAUAUGUAUGAGGUAGGAGUUCAUGUUUUUAUCUAUAUUCAUACUUGCCACCAGGAAUAUAGAUUUUUUGUCUUCAACUAUUGAUUGAUGAGUUGACGUAGUUGUGGUCCUUCGGGGCUUUGAGUUAUGAUGUAUCGAUAAAACAAAAUUUUCUUAUGAAGGCAGCUUUAAUGUGGACUAUCAAUGAUUUUCCAGCUUAUGGAAUGGUUUCUGGUUCGAGCACGUAUGGAAAACUAGCAUGUCCAUACUGCACAAAAAAUUACUAGGCAUUCACGCUAACAAACAACGAUAAAAUGUCUUUUUUUGACUGCCACCGAUGUUUUUUUGCCAACGGAUCACAGGUAUAGAAAGAACAGAAAGGAUUUUAUUAUUGACAGAGUUGAAAAGGAUGUUCCACCCCCGUGUGUUUCUGGUGAAGAAUUAUAUGACGUGGUGUCAGAGUACGGUGAUAUUGUGUUUGGUUUUCAAUCCUGUAAGCAGAAGUUUUCGAGUUUUGGUUUGACCUACAAUUGGGUAAAACAAAGUAUUUUAUAGAAGCUUUUUUAUUAAAAGACCAAUCUCCUCCGCCACAACCUUGAUGUCAUGCACAUAGAAAAGAACGUGUUUGAGAAUAUUUUCAAUACGGUCAUGGACGUGAAGGGGAAGACAAAGGAUAACAUCAAGGCUAUAUUGAAUAUAGCUUUGUUAUGUAACCGUAAAAAUAUGUAGUUGGUUUAUGCUGGGUCAUGGGUUGUAAGACCCAAAGCAAGCUUCGCUUUAGACAAGAAUACACAACUAUUAGUCUAUCAAUGGCUUAAGAGUUUGUGUUUUCCCGAUGGACAUGCCUCGAACAUAUCAAAGUUUGUUAAUUUAGAGGAUUGCAAAUUGUAUGGAAUUAAGAGCCAUGACUACCACGUGUUUAUGCAAACAUUAAUUCCAUUAGCUUAUCGUAUUUUAUUGUCAAAUGGGAUAUGAGAUGCACUCACGGAGAUCAAUUAUUUCUUUAGAGAUAUAUGUUCCAACAAGUUGCAGGCACAACACAUUGAGAAGCUUGAAAUGAAUAUCGUCUAGACAAUAUGUAAACUUGAGAUGAUAUUCCCUCCAUCAUUUUUUGACUCGAUGGAGCAUCUACCCAUACAUUUACCAUAUAAGGAAAAAAUUGGAGGCUUAAUUCAGUAUAGAUAGAUGUAUCCAUUUGAGAGGUUAGAGAUUACACAUGCAAUGCAAUUAAAAAAGUAUUUUCAUUGUUUUUGUUAAUUGAAAACAUUCGUUUAAUUCCAUGCAAGUACCUUUUUAACCUUUAAAAAAAGGUUAAAAACAAAGUGUAUGUUGAAAUUUCAAUAUGUGAGGCCUAUAUUGUUGAUGAGAUCUCAAAAUUUAUCUCCUACUAUUUUGAGCCUCAUUUAAGAACAAGAAUCAAUCACGUUUCAAGGUAUGAUGAUGGUGGUGAAGUGCCUUUAAGUGGGAACUUGUCAAUAUUCUCAAAUUCUGAACGACCCGCACUAAAAAGUGUUGUUAGGGGAAGAUAUUUAUCUGAAAUAGAAUUCAGAUAAAUAUAUAAUUAUAUGCUAUUUAACUACGAUGAACUGAGACCUUUUAUUCAAUAAGUAGAAUACUCAACUUUGUUAUUAAUAGACUAUUUAUCUCUUGUAAUAUCACAAACUUAUACAUUGUUAAAUACCUCGUAGGCAACAUCGUUAAUAUUUACUGUCUAAUAACUCACAAUAGAUUGAAUCUCAAAUCUUUCGAUUACAAGAUGAAUAAUUUACCACGUGGUUCAAAAAACAUGUAAGUACUAUCACAAACUCAUUAUCAAUCAUGAUACUUAAUUUCGUUAUAAAAUUCUCGUUCACUAUUCACUGUUGUACUUGAUGUACCACGUUUAUAAAUUGGAAGGGAAUGCUAGUGCUACAUUGUCUUUACUAAGUUUAGGUCUUGAAAGAUAGGUGAAGUGCUACAACAUGUAUUUUGUCAAUUGAUACGUGUUUUAUAUUAAAGAAUAUAGGCAGGGUAGAAAUACAUAUGACAAUGAGAUUUAUGUUAAGAGAUCGACUUUUAGUGAGUUUGAAGUUGACUAUUAUAAGAAAUUAAAAGAGAUAAUUGAAUUGCAAUAUCAUAGCAAGCAUAAUAGAGUAUUUUUAUUCAAAUGUUAUUGAUAUGACACCGCUGACUAAGGAAUCAGAGUAAAUCCCCAUCAUGGUUUAGUCGAAAUUAACUCAAAAGCUAGACUCCGCAAUGUCAACAAUUUCUUUGUUUUUGCUAAGCAAUGUUAGUAAGUUUAUUACACAUACACCCCUUCUUCAGAAAAGAUUAUUCAAGAGUUGAUUGAUUAUCCGUAUUGAAAACCAAACUCAGGGGUCGUGUCGAGGUUGUUUAAGAUGAGAACGAUGACUCAAAUAUGGGAGAUGAUGUUUUUCAAGUUAGUGAGUUAGUUGAACUAUAUCGAGUUGCUCUAUCGAUUGACUUAUAAGAAAAUUUAAAUUUUCACGUCUUCAAUAAUAUUUUUGUUAAUAUUGACGUUGAGGAGUUAAAUGUUGUUCUCAGCUCCAACGGACAAGCACAAGUCCAUGAAGAUGAUGGUAACAAUGAUAUCAACGUAGAAGAUUAUGAUGGAGCUGGCGACGAGUCAAUUAAAGAAGAAGAAGACAAUUCUGACUAAUUAUCAAAACAUGGAACUGUAAUGCCAUAAAUUAUAAUAUAAUAUUUAUUGAUGAAAUUAUCUACAAAGAAGUAUUUAUUUUAUUAUUGUUAUGUAAACUCGUAUUAUUGUGUUGUGCGUGCAACUUUCAAUUUAAGUAUUUGCAGGAUGGAUAUAUAGGAAAUACAAAUAUAAUCUGGCAUCAGACACUGUUUAACUUGGAUAUACAUUAAAACAAUAUUUUUUAUUUUUAAAAAAUUAUUUUUGAUAUCAAUAAAUCAAAAUAUAUAAAAAAAAUUUAAAACUUUUUUUUUUCAAAACUUGCCCAAAUUUCAUUUGGAACACAAUAAGAAACGAGAGGCUACCAUCAAAUGCAAUAUCGUAUUCAGCUUCAUUAUCGUUUGUCCAUUCCACCACGAACCAAAUGGUUUGCCCUCCGAUUCAGGGUGAUGCAUCUUUCAGUCAGCAUUAAGGCUCGGUAAUUAUAUUUCCUAUGAUUAAGAAACUUUUGGAUCUAUUCCCACUCCAUAAAGAUUUUAUUGUUAUUAAACUUCUUCAAUCUUUAUAUUUUCUCUUGAAGUGAAAGCUAAGGAUAUCUACAAAUAAAAGAAAUUCCGAACCUAACAAAAAAUUGAAGUGUACAUUAAACUUAUAAUUGAAUUUGGCCUUGUUGCUUAAAUUCUGAUUCUUUAUAUAUGAUUUUAUUGAUAUUUUAUUGCAAAAUAGAUUAUUACAUCUCAUCAUUUUAUAUAUCAUCAUUAAUUCUUUUUAUUAAAAAGAAUAUUUUACGGCCAAUUUAUUUCAUGACAAUGAAUGAAUUUAUUUAACAUAUUAACGAUUUUUACUUUAUUGAAAAUAUAUUUUAAUAAAAAAAUUUAAUAGAUAGUUAUGAUGUUAUAUUAUUAUGAAAUAUAAAUAUAAAUAAAAAAACUCAAAGAAGGUAAGUUUUAUCACUCAACAAAUUUAAAAUGGAUAAAAAUAACAAUUGGAGUGUGAAUAGCUAGUGCUUUCAUUCUUUUUAUGAGAAUUAUGGUGUACUUUGAAUUGGUUUCAAAAUCUAAUGUAGAAACUCCCUUCAUACUAUGAAAUAAUUUGUCUUUGUCAAUUGAAUAUAAAAUUAAAAAAUAGCAAAAGAUAUUACCUUUGGAAACUAAGAGGAUAAUCUUUAGAGAAGUCCCCCUUCCCUCUCAUCAAAUUAUAUUAAAAAAUUAUGGAAUCAAAUUUUAAUAUCUUUUAUAGAAUUUGAUAGGGAAUUAGGGCCCAUCUUCAAGAUAGAGAUUAAAGAGAAAAUCAUUCUUAAAAAAUGAAUAUCUCCACUUUAGAAAUAAGUGUUUUGAUUUAUAUCUCCUCUUGAUAUCUAUUUUUCUCUGUAAAAUAAAAAUUAGUAUUCAUUAGUUACUACUGAAGUAACACAUGAAAUAUUUUAGUGAAUUAGAUCAAUUAAUCUAAAUUUCUAUAUUUAAAUAUUGCACUUGACCCGAUUGCAAUUGUGAUUUGAUUUCAGUAUAAUUGACGAAACCCAAAUGUGCUCAUUAAUUGUUAACAUCGAAAGUUUAAAAAAGUUGAAUGUGUUAAAAUCACUCGAAACCUAUAUAAAUAGAUACAUAUGAUUAAAAUGAAAAAACGAAGAGACACAAAAUAUUUAUAAUUCUUCCAAAUAAGUUUUAUUUAAUUCAACAAUUUGUUUAACAAUACUAAUGAUGUUGUUGAGUAGGAUUAUAGUUGAUAAUAAUAAAUAAUUGAUGAAAUCUUCAUGUUAAAACAAUACUAAUGACGAGAGGGAAGAUUGAAAAACAGAGAGGAAUUGUUUUGAGAUAUAGAGACGAGAAAAGAGAGAAAAUAGAGUAGAAGAGAGAAGAACCUCCACCGUCUGCCUUCUUCAAUAUUGCCGCCAUGAGAACCGCCUUGAGCCACUGUCGACAGCAGCUCUGUAAACCCCCGGUUAUAAUUUUUCUGGGUAUUUAAAAGAUGAGAAAUUUAACCAAUAGUAAAAGGGGUUAAAUUAAAUUAAAGAAACCUAAAUCAAGAUAAAAAUAGUGAAAUUAAUGAAAUGAAAAGUCAAUAUAGUACUAAAUUAUUGAAAAGAAAAACAUUUGUGAGGACAAAAUGAAUAUGUAAAAUCAAGAGAGGUCAAUAUUCAAAUAACAGAAGGUUGGGAGUUUAUGUACAAAUGAUAAAAAGGGGUGGGGAUAAAUGUGCAAUUAACAAGAUGUUAGAACUAUAAAUAUCAUUCUAUUUUCUCUCUUGGAGGAACUGACAAGAGUAAGAGAGAGUUUAGAGAGAGGCUGGACAGAAGACAUAUUGAUGGCAGAACAUCCGACAGCUAUAACUCCACCUUCCACCGUUGGAUCAGAACGAUAUUCAGAUAUAUUAUUCUCAUCCAUGUCAUGUACAUUUUCACUAUAGGGAUUUUCUAUAUGAGUCUCCGGUUGAGAGAUAUCGAGGGGGGAAAUAUCUGGGAAAAUACACUUCUGGACAAUCUUCUUUGCUGUCUGUUUUCUCCUUCGGCCACUGUUGGAUUAGGCUAUAAUUUGGAUAUGUUGUUCUUCCUGAUUCUGUCUAGACUCUGAACGGUGGAGAUCUGAAACAAACAUUCGGUAUAGAAGUUGUGCAUCUCACACAGUAGGUCUGCAAGUUUGAAGUCAGUUCGGUUAAACCCAUAUUUCUAGAAAUCGCACCAUUUGAUGAAGUUAAUAUUUGGAUAUGUUAUACUCAUAAUAAUGCAUUAUAACUUGACAGUAUGGAUUGUUUGGAAUAUUAUUCGUUUGUUAUUUAUGGUUGAUUGAAACUGUUUUCAAGGAUUGUGUUUAGAAGAAUAUUGUUCGGAAAGUUUGUAAAAUCGAUAAGAAUGUUUUAUUUUGAUGUUAAGAGGGAAGAUUGAAAUAAAUAAGGUAAAUUGGCUCUUAAAAAGAUAUUUUUUUGACACUCUUAAAUGAUAUGUGAUAUGGCCAGGGGUUGAGAUAAAAGAGAAAAAGUUAAAUUAUGGAUGUUGUGUGUAAAUGGAAAGGUUGAUGAAUCUUGACAGAUUCGUCUCCUGACUUUUAAAGAGAAUUUGAGUAGGAGGAUGAGAGAAUUAGGAUCAAGUUUCUUCAUAGUAAUUGUAGUUUUGGAUGUUAGCUAACUAAGAAAAAUUGGUCUUGCUCAAUAUGGAGCUGUAGAACCCUAGCUAUGGGUCAUCAACUGAGAUUGGGUCCUGAUAGACCCUGUAGGGUAGUGUUUGUUGAUGAGCAAUUUUGACUAUUUCAGAGGCAGAACUGGGUUCUCCUUACUCAGAGAACUUGUAGCCUCGUGUAUUAGCUUUCCAACGAGACUAAUCUCGCUUGAAACAGAGUUCUAUAACUUUAGAUAUAGUUAAAAAUAUGAUGAGUGUUCAGACAAUGACAGUUGGACAAUAACAGUUCAAUAUCUAGACAGUAACAGUUAGAUAGUAACAAUUGGAAAUUUGACAGUAACAGUUCAAAGUUAGACAGUAAUAAUAAACUUUGACGUGAAUACUAUAUAAAAGAAUUGAGUCAUACGAACACUUGCACAUUGAGAUACUAACUCUAAAAAUAUACAUGAUAUAUGUAUGUAUGUUAUUAUGAGGAAAUGAACAUGCAUAAAAAGUAACAUAUGAGUAAUGGAUGAUUAUGGAUUCUCUGUAAUAUUGGACUGAAGGAAUGAUAACUAUGGUUGGAUAAAGGAUGACAACAUUAAUGGGUGUAAUGAGAAAAACAUGAGAUAUAAAGAAAGAAAUGAUUGAAAGAAAGAUUUAUUAGCUAUUGAUAUGAUUAUUAUAAAACAUAUCCUUGAAUGAGGAAAAUUUAUGAGAUGAGUUUGUGACUAUAGGAAGGACCACCUGUGUGGUGCAACAGCAGCAACAUGGGAGCACAAGUAGAGCUUCUACUGCAGGUAGGUGACUUUCACCUUCCUUUUAAAUAAUGUUGAAUAAUGAAAAUACUUUAUCAUGAAUAUUACUGUAUUGUGUUAAUUCAUAUACCAGAUUGUCAAAUGCUUAAAUGUAAACAAUUUAUUAGCUUCGGCUAAUGGCAUUCGAAGGGAUGACCGGGACAAACGAGUGAUUAGCUUUGGCUAAUGGCAUCCGAUAGGAUGGCCGGGACAAACGAAUGAUUAGCUUUGGCUAAACAAAUGAAUGAUUAGCUUUGGCUAAUGGCAUUCGAUGGGAUGACUGGGACAAACGAAUGAUUAGCUUUAGCUAAUUGCAUCCGAAGGGAUGGCCGGGACAAAUGAAUAAUUAGCUUUGGCUAAUUGCAUCUGAAAGGAUGACUGGGACAAACAAUUGAUUAGCUUUGGCUAAUGGCAUCCGAAUGGAUGACGGGGAAAAUUGAAUGAUUAGUUUUGGCUAAUGGCAUCCGAAUGGACGACCGGGACAAAUGGUUGAUUAGCUUUGGCUGAUGGCAUUCGAAGGGGAUGGCCGGGGUGAGUGAACAGUUAACCUCGACAAAUGAUGUCUUAAAAGAAUGGCUGGAUUUAAAUUUAAGAUUAUGGUUGAUUGUAAGAAUUGGUGCAUAUAUAUGUACUGCAAGUUGUGUAUACCAAGAACAUGAAGGAACUACAAAUGUCACGCUUCAAACAUGAGAUAAUGUUAAUGCUUCAUUAAAUUGCCAGACCAUUUUCUUCUUAUUAUUAUUAUUAAGUAAUUGCAUUCUUGUAAAUGUUUUGUACUGCAGUAGGGACGUCAUACCAACAAGGUGCCUAGAAAACGCAAUACACGGGAACCUACUUUUGCAAGGAAUCAUGUAGUUGCAUUCUAAAUCAUGAUGUAUUUUAUAUGAAUCAAUGUACUGAAUGUAUAACUAUUAUUAGAUCAUUUUAGAUUAAAUUCAUGAUGACUAUUUGUAGGAUAGAAUACAAACUCAUAUCUAUACAUGUAUAUUUUAAAUGCGAACUUAUAAUCAUGCAAACAUAAUAUUAUGAGUUUAUGUAAGAUUCACUUUUAACUGAAAAUGUUGAUUGUUGUUGAUGUAUGGAUUGUAUAUUGAUGAUGUGAAGGGAACAUGUUCGUCGAUUACCAACACGAUGUGUGUCAAGUACAAAAAAAAUAAAAAUUUACUGUUGUUUUGGGCUUGAAAAGUCGGGUUGUUACAAGCUCCACCACCAGCAGAAACAGAGGAGAAACCGAAACAAAACAGAGAAAAGGAGAAAGAACAGGAGGGAGGGCAGAAACAAAGGGCAAGGAAAACACAGAAAAAAGAACCACCAACCACCCUCAGCUCCCCAGUCUGCCACCGUUAGCGCCAAUAACAACGCCAUCGACAGUAGCUCCACCAUCGUCAGAGACCGAAGAAGAAAUGUAGAAGCAGGAGAAUAGAAACAAGGAGAAAAGGAAAACAUAGGAAAACAGAGAGAAAAACAAAGAAGAACCACCGUCUAGAAUCCUCCAUCCGCUGCACGAUUCUUCCUCAACACUGUCACCACUUGCCACAGUCAACACCAGCACCGCCACCACUGCCAGGUCAGCUUCUUCUCCUUCAUCGUCCUCGGCUACUCCACUGUUCUGUAUGAACAGUGGAGAGUCCUCCAUUGUUCACUAGGCCAGACAAGUCUGGCCCAACCCAAAACGAGAAUCGCCUAGAGCCACUGUCGACAACAGCUCCACCACCAGCAGAAACAGAGGAGAAACCGAAACAAAAUAGAGAAAAGGAGAAAGAACAAGAGGGAGGGCAGAAACAGAGGGCAAGGAAAACACAGAAAAAAGAACCACCAACCACCCUCAGCUCCCCAGUCCGCCACCGUUAGCGCCAACAACACCGCCAUCAACAACAGCUCCACCAUCGUUAGAGACCGAAGAAGAAACGUAGAAGCGGGAGAACAAAAACAAGGAGAAGAAGAAAACACUGGAAAACAGAGAGAAAAACGAAGAAGAACCACCGUUUGGAAUCAUCCGUCCUCUGCGCCAUUCUUCCUCAACACUGCCACCGCUUGCCACAGUCAACACCAGCACCGCCACCACUGCCAGGUCAACUUCUUCUUCUUCGUCGUCCUCGGCUGCUCCACUAUUUUGCAUGAACAGUAAAGAGUCCUCCAUUUUUCACUAGGCCAGACAAGUUCGGCCCAACUCAAAAUGAGUGGGUCGAGUCCGGCUCAGUCCAAAUUUUUUUUUUAAAAAAAAUCAUUUCGAAAAUUUGUGAUUUUUCUGCAUAUUUUUCUGUCCAUUUUGAUUAGUAUCGGUUUGUAUUUUAAUAUCAUAAGGAUACGAAUCUGGUUUUCAUCGAAACGUUGCAAAAAAUAAAAAAAAUAUCUUGUUUUCAUGCAUAUGACCAAGUCUUAAUACGACAAAAAAUCAUAUCGUAUUUUCAUACGACAAAAAAUCAAAAAUAUGUGUUAGCAUGUAUUUUAGCUUUAAUAACCAGCUUAUUAAAGCCACGAGAACUUGGUCAAUAUUCCAAAAAAUUUCAAAAAAAUCAUUUUGUUUUCUUUUAGUAUCUGGGAUUACAAAUUUAUACAUACAACGUAUUCCCAAUAUUAAAAAGAUAUUUCUUUUUAUUAACGUUAGAACGGUUAGGUUUUACCCGAUAAGAUAAAGAUAUGCUUACCGAGGAUGACUUUUCUUAAACUAUAGACAGACCAACAUAUAGACGUUAGCAUAUAUUAGACAAUAAAACAAUACAACUUACCUUAGGUAGGGCGUAUUUGAGUUGCUAAUACUUUCACUUUACGCAACUAGUCCCCGUGCCCGAUCUCUGAGACCAGUUAGGGUUCCUAGUGACCAAAACACUAGGUGACGACUUUCAUUCCAUCAUUCCACCGAUAAAAGACAAGAAUUCUCUGAGUGGACAAUCAUCGUGACGCCGCAUACGUGCGACAACAUGAAAGUCAUAUUGUAUGGAAUUUGUAUGAUGUGUUUCUUGAGAGAAAGCUUGUAUUAUUCAAAAUAAACUUUUAUUAAGUGUAAAUUAUUUAAAAUAAUAAUAAUUUUAUUCAGAACCUUUAUAAAUCUAUACAUAUAAUUAAAUCUAAUCAUAUAAUUUUUUUUAAAAAUUAUUUGAUUGCUGUCUUGCGCUUCUAUUAUCGUGGAAUUAAGUAAAAUAUGAUUUUAUAAAAUAAAGUUGUUAGACCUCACUGAGUCAUUUGUUUGGCAUGUAUACUGGAGUUGAUUCAAGAUAUCAUCGUCUUAAUAUUUGAAGAACAAUGUUAAAAUGUUGAUGUCUUCAAUUCUUUCUAGUCAAACUAGAUUUUUACUAGGUCGAUUAGAUCAAACUUUAACUUACUUAGUUGAUUGGAUCAUAUAAAAGUAAAAUCUAACCCAAUUUAGCUUAACACCUAAGCUAGGAGAGGGCUAAACUCAAAAUGUCUAUGAUUUUAAUUGAAAUUCAUUAAAACAUUAACAACACCUGUAAAUACAUUUUUCUUUUUGCCAUCAAAUUUAAUUUUUUAUCAUACCUACAAUGUAGCUUGGUUAAGUUAAUUAUGGAUCAUCUUACUACUUUUGUUUUUCAAAUUUUGUCAAGAAAUACUGCUAAAACACAUAUUAGCAACAAUUAUAUAUAUAUAUAUAAAUUAAUCCUACCUCAUGCAAAACACGUGCCACUAGCUAGGUUAAUUUAAAGCACCACUUGCUUUGCGGUAUUGGAGAGAAUGUAGUCAUCAUAGAUUCUGUUUGGAAAACUGAUCUUCGAAGAGAUUAGGAGCUGGAUAUUGUCUUCCUCUUCCUCUUUUUUAAUAUUUAUCUAUAUCAUAUUCCUCGUCUUAUUCUUCACCACUGUAAAGGGAUAUUUGAAAGGAAAAAAAAAUUGUAAAGUUUUAUUGUGUUUUUACUUUCCCGUCAUAUAUAGUUUUAAAAAAUACAUUUAAAAUCCUAGGUCAAAUAAAAAUUUAAAAAUAAUAAUAAGAAAAUAUUAUCAUAUAUAAUAUAACACAAAUAAUAACUAUAACUAUGAUAUCAAUGUUCACUAGGGUUCCAGAUUAUAGCUAUUUGAUUAUAGAAUUAAAAAGUGAGUCAGCCAGAAGGUAGUUAAUUGGCAUUUCACAGACAUAAAAUGGGUGUUUAUAAGUGAGGUGGUAAUUGUUUUUUAAAGUGUUUUUUGACUUGAAAAUGCAUCAAAAUAAUAUUUUUUAUUUUUAAAAGAUUAAUUUUGACAUUAACACAUCAAUAAUUUGAAGUAAAGAAAAAAAUAAUUUUUUUUUUUUAAAAACCUUUUGAAAUAUAAAAACAAAUAGCCAUAAUAACAAGCAAAACAUCAGAUGCAGUUAAUGAUUCUUAUAAGAUUUAAUCAAUUAUUUUUGGAACACGACAGUUAAAACCUUUGAAAUUGAAGCAUGCACCAUAAAAUGAUGAUGAUGGCCUUGCUGAACUGAACCAGAUUGCCUCAGGUUGUGGCUUACGUCGCCUUGCGUUGUGAUAGGAAAGACGUCUACGACAGCUUCGCUUCUUGUCAUCAAACUCUGACAAUUCACGGAACCUAAACAAAUUUUGCAUCCUAAAUGCAGCAGCAGCAGCAGACUUUAGCCGUAGAUAAUAACAUCAGAAAGCUUAGCAAAAGCAACAAAGCUAAAUCAUGGAGAUUAAAAAUGAAUAAUUACUAAGAAUUCCCCAAGAAUCAAGAUUCAUGAGAGUGUUACGUAUCUGGAUGACAGAAUAGUGGGAGAUGUUGCAACAAGAAAAAGACUACUAUGGGGAGGCAAGAAGGAGCGGGAAGUAGAGACGCCAGGAGCACACAACCUGCUGUUUAGUUAUUAAUAUUCUUUUAGUUAGUUGGAGUACAUUCGGUUAGCAGAGUUUGUUAAUCACUUUGAGUUAGUUGGAUUAGUACAAUUUCGAUUUCAUUUCUCUCUUCUCUGCUAAUAUCAUUCUGCUUCUUAGCCUCAUCUUCUUGAUUUGUUAAGUGAUCUUAACAAUUGAUUUUAGAGCCUUAAGAUCUAACACUAUGAUGAAAAAUCAUAAGCUGAAAAACAUUGAAGAACACUGCAAGAAAUUGGAGGAGCGAAUGCAAAUCCUUCAACAAGAACUCUAAGAAUCCCUGGUCGAUCAACAAAACAAAUGGCAGGAACAACUCGGUGAACAAUUAAAGUUGGAAGACUAAUUAGAUUAGUGCUCAAAUUGAAACACUGUCGAAUCAAUUUCAAACAUUCCUUGCUCAUCAGAUGACAGGGAAGGAUGUGGGAAGCACUUCUAGAGGAAUCUUACAGGCACUAGCAAGCGGCAGUCUUGAAGGAAUGUUAUCAAGGGGAAAAGGUCCUGCUAGGGGAGAUCAAACUUAUGGCCAGGAGCAGUAGAGAGUGGUGCAUAAUGCUGCUCUUCCAAGGAUGGAUCUGACAACAUUUCGAGGAGAUAAUCCUAGGGGUUGGUUAAGGAGGUGCAAGAAGUUUUUUAGCCUCAACUCAACUCCAUUUCAGUAGUGGGUAGAACUAGCAUCUAUUUACUUGGAAGGAAAGGCAUAAAUCUGGUUUGAAGGCUAUAUGCGUGGGGUAAUUCACUGGUUACUAUGCGCACAACACAGUAACAAGCUAUCUAUGGGCCGAUUCUGGCCUAGUUUCUUUUGGGCUAGGCCAGGCCCAGUUUUUUUGGGAUUUGUACUAUUUCCUCGCGUAUUUUUAUGCCUUUUUUAUUAAUUAGUAUUGGAAUAUAUUUUUAUGUCAUUAAAAAUACAAAAUCUGGUAUUAAAAUACCCGGUUUUCGUCAAAACUUCCAAAAAUACAAAAAAAAUUGAAAAUAGAAAAAAUAUUUUUGUGCAUACGGCCAAGAGUCUCAAAGCUAAAAAAAAUCAUAUUGUGUUUUUCAUACACCAAAAAACAAUGUUUUAGCAUGCAUUUUGGCUUUAAUAACCAGUUUAUUAAAGUCCAGAGAACAUUGACCAAAAUUUAAAAAACAACAAAAAUUUUAUUUUGUUUUGUUUUAAUAUCAGGGAUUAUGAAUUUAUACGUAAAACGUAUUCCCGAUAUUAAAAAGGUAUUUUCUUUUGACAACAUAGAACAGUUAGGUUUGUACCCGAUAAGAUAAGAACCUUCUUAUUGAAGAGGGCUUUUCUUGACCCUUUAGACGGACCAACAAUUAGAAAACACAACAAGACCAUAAUUUUUAUCAAACAUUAAAACAAUGCAGCUUACCUUAGGUAGGGCGUAGUGGGGGUGCUAAUACCUUCCCUUUACGCAACCAGUCUCCGUACUCGAUCUCUGAGACUAGUUAGGGUUCCUAGUGACCAAAAUACUAGGUGGCGACUCCCAGUCCAUAUUUUACUGAUAAGAGACAAGAAUUCCUUGUCUCUCCAUAUUUGCCAGACAGACCUUUACCAUUUUCGUUGUGAAUGGUGGACGAUCGUCGCGACGCCGCACACGUGCGACAAUAUGGUUGGUGGGGCAGUUUUUUCUGGUAGAGGUAACAACAAUACCACAUCAGGUACUUGCUAAUGCAGAAAUAACAAGGUUAUUGGCAGACUAUGCAGUUGCUUUUCAAGAACCAACAUCAUUGCCACCUACCAGGAAACAUGAUCAUAGAAUUCCACUAACAACAGGAGCUCAACCCGUCAAUUGCAAACCAUAUAAGAGCUCUUUCUUUCAAAAGGGGGAGAUCGAAAUGAUGGUCAAGGAGAUGCUACACAACAACAUAAUACAACCCAAUGUUAAUCCCUUUGCCUCUCCUAUUCUUUUGGUGAAGAAGAAGGACAACACAUGGCGUUUUUAUGUAGACUUUCGACUGCUGAAUGAAAAAAUUUCUUAGUAUUCUUUGACGAUAUUGUCAUUUAUAGUUCCUCUCUAAAAGAACACAUCAGUCAUUUGAAGCAAGUCUUGGACACUCUUAAAACUAACCAACUGUAUGCGAAGAGAUUCAAGUGCACAUUUGCAGAGCCGCAAGUAGAGUAUUUGGGGCAUAUAAUUUCAGCUGAAGGGGUAGCCACUAAUCCUAAGAAGAAACAGGCAGUACAGGAGUGGCCAAUUCCAAAAUCCAUUAAGAAGCUAAGGGGAUUCCUUGGCCUAGCUGGUUAUUAUUGAAAAUUCAUUAGGAAAUUUGGUAUUAUUAGCAAGCCUUUGACAAAUAUGCUCAAGAAGAAUAACUUCAUUUGGCAUGAAGGAGCACUAGAGGCUUUUCGCAACCUGAAACAAGCAUUGUGUAAGGCUUCAAUCAUGGCCUUGCCGGACUUUACCAAACCGUUUGUGCUGGAACCAGACGCUUGUGAUACUGGAAUUGGAGCAGUACUUAGCCAGGAAGGAAGACCAUUAGCAUUUUUUAGCAAGGCCUUGGGAGUCAAACACUUGAGGCUAUCCAUUUACGAGAAGGAAUACCUUGCUAUUCUAAUGGUAGUCGACAAGUGGAGGCAUUACUUGGAACAAGAUCAGUUUGUCAUUCAAACUUAUCAUAAAAGUCUGACGUAUCUACUUGAUCAGAAAAUUCACACUCCUAUACAAAAGAAGGGGCUGACUAAGCUGUGGGGGUUGAACUAUCGGAUCAGGUACAGAAAAGGAAAGAAGAAUAAGGCUGCAGAUGCCUUAUCUAGGAGGAAUAUGCAGGGGGAAGAAGGCUGUCAAGGAAAUAAAAUGGAAGGGGGAAGGUUCACCGCCAUAACACAAAUAACUCCCUCCUGGUAUGACAAGAUUUAUGCCUCUUAUAAAGACGAUGCCAAGUUGCAGGAUAUGAUGAGGAGUAAACUGGUAGAUGCUGCACAAUCUCUCAACUUUGUAUGUUGAAGGAGUGAUUAAAUAUAAGGGGAGAGUUAUUAUUGGAUCUGCAGGGUUAUUAAAGGAAGAACUCAUCAAGUCUACCUAUGAUUCCUACAUUGGAGGACAUGCUGGGAUCCAAAAUACAUACAGACGACUUAAGGCUCACUUCUACUGGCCUUCUAUGAGGAAAUUAGUGCAAGAAAUAGUUCAACACUGUGACAUUUGUAAACAAGCUAAGGCCGAAAGGGUCCCUUAUCUUGGAUUGUUACAGGCUCUUCAAGUUCGAAGUGGUUCUUGGCAGGAUAUAACCAUGGAUUUCAUAGAAGGAUUUCCAAGGUCAGAAGGCAAGGAUACCAUUAUGGUCAUUGGUGAUCGAUUUACGAAGUAUGGGCAUUUUAUCACAUUAGCCCAUCCCUUCACAGCUCAAGAGGUGGCUAAAUUGUUUCUGGAUCACAUUUAUAAGUUACAUGGCUUGCCUGCCACGAUAUUAACUGAUAGAGAUAAAAUUUUCACAAGCUUGUUCUGGAGAGAAUUGUUUAGACAUUUGGGCAUAAAGUUGUUACUAAACGCCUCCUAUCAUCCUCGAAUGGAUGGUCUGACCGAGAGGGUGAAUCAAUUCCUAGAGACUUACCUAAGGUGCAUCACUAUACAUUGUCCCAAAAGUGGAACACUUGGAUAUCGACAGCACUAUUUAACAAUUGUUUAGAAGGUAGAUAAAUUAUUUUGAAUUCACAAUUUAACAUGACAUGGAAGGAACAUGCAUUAGAGAGAGGAUCUAAUUUAACAUGUCGUACAAUAAUAACUUAAUCUAUAGCCUUUUUUAUUUAUUUUCUUUUUAAUUUUGGUACAAUAAAAAGGCUCUUCAAAUAUGUAGAAGAUAUAACAUAUUUAGAGUAUGAGAUAUUGAGGCCAGCUUUCAACUGCCAUGAUAUUUUCUAGUAAUUCCUUAACUUAUACUGCAUAUAGUUUAUUACUGAGUUGUUGCGUAAUUAAUUAAUUGGAAUAGAGGGCAUGUAUCCCAUCAAUAUCAUCCUGGGCGAGAUCUCUUUUCUUCUUUCCAGCUUCUAUCGUUGGAUACAUGAUGGCUUCGGGAUGAUCUGUACUAUGAUGAAGGCCAAGCAGAUGUCCUAUUUCAUGAACAGUAACGGAUUCCAGGUCAGUUUGAUCCAUUGCGGGGUCAGUGCUCCAGUUCUCGUCUGCAUCGUAAUGGAGACGGCCGUCUUGUGGAUAAAAAGCAUGAGCCAGUGUUUUCCCUGGUCCAUCAAAAGGAUACCGGUCCCCAUGAUCGCCGCUGUAGAACUCAAUUACAAUAUCUGCUGAUGCACCGGCAGUCGCCUCCUGGAAAGUGAAUUUAGAAACCUUUGCCCAUGUUUGGAAAGCUUUUGAGCAGACCGACCUCAAGGUGUCCGAACCAACAACUUGGACACCGGAGCCAAAUCUGUAGGUCAGAGCAUACUUGGAAGGUGGCCACUUUUCUGCCCCGAAAGCAUAAUGAGCCACCAUGUGGACCUUCUUGUGUUUUGAUUUAGUGCUGUUCGGUUUGGUGGACGGAGUGUUUAUGAUAUCAGGCGUUCCACAUCGUGGAAUCACCAUUUGUUGUAUGGUACUAGAGUCGAGGUUACCAGUAACAUUCAGAUGAAAAUAUUCUUGGUAUGUUUUGAGUGCUAGCUCCAAGUGGUCAUCAAAAUCACUGCUUGUGAGAGUGAUAUCAUCACUUGGGUAGUACCCAAGCUUUUUGAGAUAUUGUUUGAGCUCAAUAAGCCCUUGCACAGUUUGGCCCUUUUUAACCCCUUCCAGCCCUUGAAGGAAGCUGCUAAAAGAUUGCCGAUGCUCGGGUUUCAAAGUUCUUGCCAGACCUCUGAAGGACUGGAUAGAAAAGAUAACGAGGAUUGCUGAUAAAAGAUGGGAAAGAUUAGGAGCCAUAUAUUAUGUUGUUUCGGAGAAUGGCUUCAGACGUGGGUUGUGGCUUUCAAUUCUAGUAUCGGAUGGCUAUUUAUAGGCAUAGUAUGUUGUAUUGGCAUUAGGACUAUAGAAUAUGUCUUGAGAUUUACUACUAUCCUUAUUUUUGUUAAUUCUGAUUACUUAUUUUCAAAUAUUAAUUAUUUAGACUACAUUUUUCCUUCAAGCAUCUAAUUUAUUUAUUUUCUUUCGUAGUAAUCAAUGAAAUUACUAUCUGAAUAUUUGAGUUUAACUUUCAUUUAUAUAGUUAUUAUUAGAUAUCUCUAUCCAACAAAAUCAACAACUUCAUUGUGAUUGUUUUUUAUGUAGCUUUUGUGGUUGUGAUUUUAAAAAAGUGCGGUUAGCUGUGGUUAGUUAGAUUUAGAUACGUGUUUGGUAAAAAUUGUGAUUGAAGUUUAUGUGUAGUAAAAAAACAUACUAAAAUGUUUGGUGGAAGUGUGGUUGCAGUUGCUUUUUAAAGUGCUUUUUACUUGGAAAUGUAUCAAAAUAAUAUUUGUUUUAUUUUUUUAAAAUUAUUUUUGAUAUCAGCAUAUCAAAAUGAUCUGAAAACACCAAAAAAAUAUUAAUUUGAAGUAAAGAAAAAAAUAAAAAAUUCUUAAAUUUUUUCAAAAGCGUUUUUGAAACGCUAAAACAAACAGGGUUUUACAAAACUCAGUUAAAAAAGCAUGUAAAAACUGCUUCACAAAAACUGCGUUUCAAACUCAAUUUUUUAGUGGGUCUCGUAGUAUAAAACGCAGUUUGGUUUGUUACCAAACACCUUGCCGCGUUUAUUGCACCGCAAACACAAAAGCAGGUGUAAAACAAAUGCAACCUUCUACUAUUAAGAAAGUACAUCUCUAUUCCGUGUCUCAUAAAUUUAAAUUAUCAAAUGGCUAAUCCUAAAUUGAAUCAAAGUUUUAUUUAUCAUUUCAAUAAUUUUAUUUUUGUCUUUGUUAGUCUUGAAUGAUUAAAUAUAGUAUAUUCUUUUAAUAUAUCUUUUUAUUUAAUUCAUUUAAAUAAUGUUGUUGAGAAGGAGCGCUCAAAAAAUAAAUGAUCAUGGGUUUCCACAUGUAAACCACACAAAAUACAUACAGUAGAGGUGAUGAUCUGAAAAGUCUGUAGUCUGUUAAUAGUGUGUAGACGACCCAAAAAGACAAGCCAUAAGAUGAAGGAGUGUCAUGGGACAUGUCCUAGAAACCAAAGAAGAUGGUGCAUAAUAUUCUUGGGCCUGGUAUCUGGAAGUGCCUCCCAAGAGAUCCAAAAGAGAUGCUUUCAAAUCAUUAUCCACACCUUAUAUGAAAACAUGACUCUUCUCUAGGUUGAUCAUCAGCCUUGAUAACACAACAAAGUCAUCCAGAGCCCUCAUCACAACACCCACUGAAUUGGUGUCUGCCUGACAAAAUAUCAUAAGGUCAUCAACAAAGAAUAAAUGAGUAAUACUCUCGUGUUGACACCUCUAGUGAUAGUGGUAUCUCUGGUUCUAAGCAGCCUUUCUAAGAAUACCAUCAAGCCCUUCAUAGCCAGCACAAACAAAGUUAGCUACACGCAUACUUUGGUUACGAGACAGCUUAGGGGCAUACAAUAUGUGCCAAGGACAACUAAACUAUCACAAUUCUCUGGGUUAUUCAAAGACCAAUCCGCUUUAGAAGUUAUGGAAAACAUCAAACAAGAUUGGAAGCUUUUGGUAUCGAUAAAAAAAAAAGAAUUAGAUGGUUUGAGAGAUCUAGUCACUAGUGAAAAAUACCCGAGGUGGAGAAAUCUAUCAUUGGUGACUUUCUUCAUGAAUCUCGAAUUCAAAACGGAAACUUCACAAACCGCUGAACUAAAUAAGAGAAAAAGAAUUAACAACGAGGAAGAGUUGAGAGAACAACUGGAAAAGCUCUAUGUAGAAUUGGGCACCAAUAAAGCCCUCAAGAUCUCCCUCGAGGAACAACUCUUCAUUGAAGAUAAACUGAGGAAGUUUAUGGAGUAACAGUUGAUGAACUGACCCUUAAAUGUAAAAGCUUUCACUGAACAUGAAUGAAAAGGGCAUGGACCCAAUCUUCACAGCAACAUUUUGUAUUGAUGAGUAUAAAUUUAUUAGGAAUUGGCUCAAAUCAAAUUGUCUCGACAGUUAUAAAAGGAUAAAAAUCUUACCCAAAUGAUAGCAUAUAUCAGUCAGAAAUUUGGCUAAUCCACAUUCAAAUAUGCAUCAUCAUGCAUAAUUAUACAUCCAUAUGCACUUGUGUUUAUGAAUUUCAAAAUAUGCCUAACAGGUAUUUGAAAUUUAGGUUCCCCUACUAAAAUCUACAAUACUAGGUUUUGUAAAAGGAUGGAAAAUGAUGAAAGGGCUCACUACCAAAAAGAGUUGGAUGAUGUUAAGAAUAACAUGGCUCGGGUGACUAGUUUACUCGACCAACUCUUGUAAGCACAGUCAGGGGAAGGGACAUCCAGUCAGCAUCCGACUCUAUAAUCACCGCUAGUAGCUCUAGUUAUCAUUGACCCACAAAACUUGGAAACAAAUCCCACCGCUAGACCACAAGGAACAAAAAACAUUCCAAUUACUCACCCAAUUAUGCCUGCUCAAGUACUAACCAUAAUAGAUCUAACUAAAGGGGAAUCCCAUGGGGUUAAAUCUUUUGGUCACCCUAAACAAGAUAAGUGGGUUGCCUGGGAGGAGAGGUUUAGAGUUGUUGAGGGAUUUGACGUCUAUGACUUAGUUAGAGCAGCUGAGAUAUGCCUAGUACCAAAUGUAGUGGUACCCAAAGAGUUUAGAGUGCCAGAAUUUGUCAAGUACACGGAGUUAGAAUGCCUUAAUACACACCUGAGGUCAUAUUACAACAAAAUGACGGAGGUCAUAUAUAAUGACAAGUUGCUCAUCCAUUUCUUCCAAGAAACUUGACUAGUUUCACGUUAAGCAGAAAAUAUAAGAAUAAUAUAUAUGUCAAGUGUAUGGAAAGUAAUUUUAAUAAAUACAAGACUAUUCAGACAUCAUAUUUUUAGGUAAAUAAAGGAUGAAAAACAUCUUCUUUUUAUUGGCUUCAUUCUUGUGAUAUAUUACUUGAUAGGUUAGAACAUGUAAAUUAUAAUUCUAUAUACAAGUCAAUUAAUUUUGAAUUAUUAUUAAGUAUUGUUUUUUUUAAAAUAAAGUUUAUAUUGAAUCAAAAUUCAUAAAAAUUUUGGUAUCAAAUCAAGUCUCCUUCUUGAUCUUCCUCUCCAUCUCUUUGUUGAUGUAGAUUUUUAUUGUCCGACAAAAAUAGAAUGUAAGUUACUCAAUGUUUUAAAAAUUAUUAUUUAAUUACUAAAAUACACAUUAUUACUUAUAAUAACCGGUUAAAAAGGUACCUUAAUGAAUAAAAAGGACAUAAUAUAAUACCUAAUUAAUUAUAUUAUUUCAAUUUUCCAGGGUAUCACACUAGUUUCGAUUAAGAUUUUAGAUGACAACCUUACUCAAAUUAAGAUCUAUAUAUGGCAAUAUAAAUUUCCGGAAGUAUAUUCAAAAUAAUCAUCAAGUAAGAGGCCUUAGUUUCAUAACCAAAAGAACCGGUCUUCUUAUCAACAGCAGAAGCAAUCCUUCUUUUCUUUUCUUUUUUCCUUUUCUAUUUAUAAGCAAAAUAGUACCAGGAACGCCUAUGAAGAGGCAGCAGGAAAUUGUAGCUAAAGAAGAUUAAAAACAAAUCACACUAUAUUACUAUCAAAACUCAUGCCACUGCUUCUAAAGUGCAAGACCUCAUCAGAAGCAGAUACCAAGACCAAUCAACUCGAGAAAAUUCAAUCCUAUGGGAGCAUCUUGGGUUUUCCUUUAUGAUGGCUAUCGGAUGUCCACAGCAUUACAACUGGAGUUUUGCUCCGCAUCAAACAACUCAUCACGUCGGUAUUAUGUAUUCAUCCUCGCCGGGCCAAGGCAAAAGUGUCGUCUUCAUGGGACAGAUUUCUCUUGUAAGGUAUGGAAAAUAUCGGCAUCAAUUCCAUCUCCAUCUCCGAUCUUUCCUUGCAUCAAAUGUUUUGUUUGAUCUUUUGGGCCAGGAGUUUGGGAUCCAAUGAUGUAAGGGUAAAAUAAUGAUUCGUGGUCAUCAGCAAGUCUAUGGGAUUUGGUAUUCAGACUUCAUAUAUUUACAAGUAUCCUCCGACAACUCUUGAUAUCUCGUCGAUGCAGUCAUGGCAACAGGAAGUCUAUGGGUUUUGGCCGUAAAUGGCGCCGAGAGAGCCCUACCAUCAAAUGCAUUAUCGUCUUCAGCUUCAUUAUCGUUUGUCCUUUCCAACACGUACCAAAUGGUUUGCCCUCCGAUUCAGGUUGAUGCAUCUUUCAGUCAGCAUUAAGGCUCGGUAAUUAUAUUUCCAAUGAUAAAGAAACUUUUGGAUCUAUGCCCACUCCAUAAAGAUUUUAUUGUUAUUGGUGAGAUAACUAGAUUAAACUUCUUCAAUCUUUAUAUUUUCUCUUGAAGUGAAAGCUAAGGAUAUCUACAAAUAAAAGAAAUUCCAAACCUAACAAAAAAUUGAAGUGUACAUUAAACUUAUAAUUGAAUUUGGCCUUGUUGCUUAAAUUCUGAUUCUUUAUAUAUGAUUUUAUUGAUAUUUUAUUGCAAAAUGGAUUAUUAAAUCUCAUCAUUUUAUCAUCAUUAAUUCUUUUUAUUAAAAAGAAUAUUUUACGGCCAAUUCAUUUCAUGACAAUGAAUGAAUUUAUUUAACAUAUUAACGAUUUUUACUUUAUUGAAAAUAUAUUUUAAUAAAAAAAUUUAAUAGAUAGUUAUGAUGUUAUAUUAUUAUGAAAUAUAAAUAUAAAUAAAAAAACUCAAAGAAGGUAAGUUUUAUCACUCAACAAAUUUAAAAUGGAUAAAAAUAACAAUUGGAGUGUGAAUAGCUAGUGCUUUCAUUCUUUUUAUGAGAAUUAUGGUGUACUUUGAAUUGGUUUCAAAAUCUAAUGUAGAAACUCCCUUCAUACUAUGAAAUAAUUUGUCUUUGUCAAUUGAAUAUAAAAUUAAAAAAUAGCAAAAGAUAUUACCUUUGGAAACUAAGAGGAUAAUCUUUAGAGAAGUCCCCCUUCCCUCUCAUCAAAUUAUAUUAAAAAAUUAAGGAAUCAAAUUUUAAUAUCUUUUAUAGAAUUUGAUAGGGAAUUAGGGCCCAUCUUCAAGAUAGAGAUUAAAGAGAAAAUCAUUCUUAAAAAAUGAAUAUCUCCACUUUAGAAAUAAGUGUUUUGAUUUAUAUCUCCUCUUGAUAUCUAUUUUUCUCUGUAAAAUAAAAAUUAGUAUUCAUUAGUUACUACUGAAGUAACACAUGAAAUAUUUUAGUGAAUUAGAUCAAUUAAUCUAAAUUUCUAUAUUUAAAUAUUGCACUUGACCCAAUUGCAAUUGUGAUUUGAUUUCAGUAUAAUUGACGAAACCCAAAUGUGCUCAUUAAUUGUUAACAUCGAAAGUUUAAAAAAGUUGAAUGUGUUAAAAUCACUCGAAACCUAUAUAAAUAGAUACAUAUGAUUAAAAUGAAAAAACGAAGAGACACAAAAUAUUUAUAAUUCUUCCAAAUAAGUUUUAUUUAAUUCAACAAUUUGUUUAACAAUACUAAUGAUGUUGUUGAGUAGGAUUAUAGUUGAUAAUAAUAAAUAAUUGAUGAAAUCUUCAUGUUAAAACAAUACUAAUGACGAGAGGGAAGAUUGAAAAACAGAGAGGAAUUGUUUUGAGAUAUAGAGACGAGAAAAGAGAGAAAAUAGAGUAGAAGAGAGAAGAACCUCCACCGUCUGCCUUCUUCAAUAUUGCCGCCAUGAGAACCGCCUUGAGCCACUGUCGACAGCAGCUCUGUAAACCCCCGGUUAUAAUUUUUCUGGGUAUUUAAAAGAUGAGAAAUUUAACCAAUAGUAAAAGGGGUUAAAUUAAAUUAAAGAAACCUAAAUCAAGAUAAAAAUAGUGAAAUUAAUGAAAUGAAAAGUCAAUAUAGUACUAAAUUAUUGAAAAGAAAAACAUUUGUGAGGACAAAAUGAAUAUGUAAAAUCAAGAGAGGUCAAUAUUCAAAUAACAGAAGGUUGGGAGUUUAUGUACAAAUGAUAAAAAGGGGUGGGGAUAAAUGUGCAAUUAACAAGAUGUUAGAACUAUAAAUAUCAUUCUAUUUUCUCUCUUGGAGGAACUGACAAGAGUAAGAGAGAGUUUAGAGAGAGGCUGGACAGAAGACAUAUUGAUGGCAGAACAUCCGACAGCUAUAACUCCACCUUCCACCGUUGGAUCAGAACGAUAUUCAGAUAUAUUAUUCUCAUCCAUGUCAUGUACAUUUUCACUAUAGGGAUUUUCUAUAUGAGUCUCCGGUUGAGAGAUAUCGAGGGGGGAAAUAUCUGGGAAAAUACACUUCUGGACAAUCUUCUUUGCUGUCUGUUUUCUCUUUCGGCCACUGUUGGAUUAGGCUAUAAUUUGGAUAUGUUGUUCUUCCUGAUUCUGUCUAGACUCUGAACGGUGGAGAUCUGAAACAAACAUUCGGUAUAGAAGUUGUGUAUCUCACACAGUAGGUCUGCAAGUUUGAAGUCAGUUCGGUUAAACCCAUAUUUCUAGAAAUCGCACCAUUUGAUGAAGUUAAUAUUUGGAUAUGUUAUACUCAUAAUAAUGCAUUAUAACUUGACAGUAUGGAUUGUUUGGAAUAUUAUUCGUUUGUUAUUUAUGGUUGAUUGAAACUGUUUUCAAGGAUUGUGUUUAGAAGAAUAUUGUUCGGAAAGUUUGUAAAAUCGAUAAGAAUGUUUUAUUUUGACGUUAAGAGGGAAGAUUGAAAUAAAUAAGGUAAAUUGGCUCUUAAAAAGAUAUUUUUUUGACACUCUUAAAUGAUAUGUGAUAUGGCCAGGGGUUGAGAUAAAAGAGAAAAAGUUAAAUUAUGGAUGUUGUGUGUAAAUGAAAAGGUUGAUGAAUCUGGACAGAUUCGUCUCCUGACUUUUAAAGAGAAUUUGAGUAGGAGGAUGAGAGAAUUAGGAUCAAGUUUCUUCAUAGUAAUUGUAGUUUUGGAUGUUAGCUAACUAAGAAAAAUUGGUCUUGCUCAAUAUGGAGCUGUAGAACCCUAGCUAUGGGUCAUCAACUGAGAUUGGGUCCUGAUAGACCCUGUAGGGUAGUGUUUGUUGAUGAGCAAUUUUGACUAUUUCAGAGGCAGAACUGGGUUCUCCUUACUCAGAGAACUUGUAGCCUCGUGUAUUAGCUUUCCAACGAGACUAAUCUCGCUUGAAACAGAGUUCUAUAACUUUAGAUAUAGUUAAAAAUAUGAUGAGUGUUCAGACAAUGACAGUUGGACAAUAACAGUUCAAUAUCUAGACAGUAACAGUUAGAUAGUAACAAUUGGAAAUUUGACAGUAACAGUUCAAAGUUAGACAGUAAUAAUAAACUUUGACGUGAAUACUAUAUAAAAGAAUUGAGUCAUACGAACACUUGCACAUUGAGAUACUAACUCUAAAAAUAUACAUGAUAUAUGUAUGUAUGUUAUUAUGAGGAAAUGAACAUGCAUAAAAAGUAACAUAUGAGUAAUGGAUGAUUAUGGAUUCUCUGUAAUAUUGGACUGAAGGAAUGAUAACUAUGGUUGGAUAAAGGAUGACAACAUUAAUGGGUGUAAUGAGAAAAACAUGAGAUAUAAAGAAAGAAAUGAUUGAAAGAAAGAUUUAUUAGCUAUUGAUAUGAUUAUUAUAAAACAUAUCCUUGAAUGAGGAAAAUUUAUGAGAUGAGUUUGUGACUAUAGGAAGGACCACCUGUGUGGUGCAACAGCAGCAACAUGGGAGCACAAGUAGAGCUUCUACUGCAGGUAGGUGACUUUCACCUUCCUUUUAAAUAAUGUUGAAUAAUGAAAAUACUUUAUCAUGAAUAUUACUGUAUUGUGUUAAUUCAUAUACCAGAUUGUCAAAUGCUUAAAUGUAAACAAUUUAUUAGCUUCGGCUAAUGGCAUUCGAAGGGAUGACCGGGACAAACGAGUGAUUAGCUUUGGCUAAUGGCAUCCGAUAGGAUGGCCGGGACAAACGAAUGAUUAGCUUUGGCUAAACAAAUGAAUGAUUAGCUUUGGCUAAUGGCAUUCGAUGGGAUGACUGGGACAAACGAAUGAUUAGCUUUAGCUAAUUGCAUCCGAAGGGAUGGCCGGGACAAAUGAAUAAUUAGCUUUGGCUAAUUGCAUCUGAAAGGAUGACUGGGACAAACAAUUGAUUAGCUUUGGCUAAUGGCAUCCGAAUGGAUGACGGGGAAAAUUGAAUGAUUAGUUUUGGCUAAUGGCAUCCGAAUGGACGACCGGGACAAAUGGUUGAUUAGCUUUGGCUGAUGGCAUUCGAAGGGGAUGGCCGGGGUGAGUGAACAGUUAACCUCGACAAAUGAUGUCUUAAAAGAAUGGCUGGAUUUAAGAUUAUGGUUGAUUGUAAGAAUUGGUGCAUAUAUAUGUACUGCAAGUUGUGUAUACCAAGAACAUGAAGGAACUACAAAUGUCACGCUUCAAACAUGAGAUAAUGUUAAUGCUUCAUUAAAUUGCCAGACCAUUUUCUUCUUAUUAUUAUUAUUAAGUAAUUGCAUUCUUGUAAAUGUUUUGUACUGCAGUAGGGACGUCAUACCAACAAGGUGCCUAGAAAACGCAAUACACGGGAACCUACUUUUGCAAGGAAUCAUGUAGUUGCAUUCUAAAUCAUGAUGUAUUUUAUAUGAAUCAAUGUACUGAAUGUAUAACUAUUAUUAGAUCAUUUUAGAUUAAAUUCAUGAUGACUAUUUGUAGGAUAGAAUACAAACUCAUAUCUAUACAUGUAUAUUUUAAAUGCGAACUUAUAAUCAUGCAAACAUAAUAUUAUGAGUUUAUGUAAGAUUCACUUUUAACUGAAAAUGUUGAUUGUUGUUGAUGUAUGGAUUGUAUAUUGAUGAUGUGAAGGGAACAUGUUCGUCGAUUACCAACACGAUGUGUGUCAAGUACAAAAAAAAUAAAAAUUUACUGUUGUUUUGGGCUUGAAAAGUCGGGUUGUUACAAGCUCCACCACCAGCAGAAACAGAGGAGAAACCGAAACAAAACAGAGAAAAGGAGAAAGAACAGGAGGGAGGGCAGAAACAAAGGGCAAGGAAAACACAGAAAAAAGAACCACCAACCACCCUCAGCUCCCCAGUCUGCCACCGUUAGCGCCAAUAACAACGCCAUCGACAGUAGCUCCACCAUCGUCAGAGACCGAAGAAGAAAUGUAGAAGCAGGAGAAUAGAAACAAGGAGAAAAGGAAAACAUAGGAAAACAGAGAGAAAAACAAAGAAGAACCACCGUUUGGAAUCAUCCGUCCUCUGCGCCAUUCUUCCUCAACACUGCCACCGCUUGCCACAGUCAACACCAGCACCGCCACCACUGCCAGGUCAACUUCUUCUUCUUCGUCGUCCUCGGCUGCUCCACUAUUUUGCAUGAACAGUAAAGAGUCCUCCAUUUUUCACUAGGCCAGACAAGUUCGGCCCAACUCAAAAUGAGUGGGUCGAGUCCGGCUCAGUCCAAAUUUUUUUUAAAAAAAAAAUCAUUUCGAAAAUUUGUGAUUUUUCUGCAUAUUUUUCUGUCCAUUUUGAUUAGUAUCGGUUUGUAUUUUAAUAUCAUAAGGAUACGAAUCUGGUUUUCAUCGAAACGUUGCAAAAAAUAAAAAAAAUAUCUUGUUUUCAUGCAUAUGACCAAGUCUUAAUACGACAAAAAAUCAUAUCGUAUUUUCAUACGACAAAAAAUCAAAAAUAUGUGUUAGCAUGUAUUUUAGCUUUAAUAACCAGGUUAUUAAAGCCACGAGAACUUGGUCAAUAUUCCAAAAAAUUUCAAAAAAAUCAUUUUGUUUUCUUUUAGUAUCCGGGAUUACAAAUUUAUACAUACAACGUAUUCCCAAUAUUAAAAAGAUAUUUCUUUUUAUUAACGUUAGAACGGUUAGGUUUUACCCGAUAAGAUAAAGAUAUGCUUACCGAGGAUGACUUUUCUUAAACUAUAGACAGACCAACAUAUAGACGUUAGCAUAUAUUAGACAAUAAAACAAUACAACUUACCUUAGGUAGGGCGUAUUUGAGUUGCUAAUACUUUCACUUUACGCAACUAGUCCCCGUGCCCGAUCUCUGAGACCAGUUAGGGUUCCUAGUGACCAAAACACUAGGUGACGACUUUCAUUCCAUCAUUCCACCGAUAAAAGACAAGAAUUCUCUGAGUGGACAAUCAUCGCGACGCCGCAUACGUGCGACAACAUGAAAGUCAUAUUGUAUGGAAUUUGUAUGAUGUGUUUCUUGAGAGAAAGCUUGUAUUAUUCAAAAUAAACUUUUAUUAAGUGUAAAUUAUUUAAAAUAAUAAUAAUUUUAUUCAGAACCUUUAUAAAUCUAUACAUAUAAUUAAAUCUAAUCAUAUAAUUUUUUUAAAAAAUUAUUUGAUUGCUGUCUUGCGCUUCUAUUAUCGUGGAAUUAAGUAAAAUAUGAUUUUAUAAAAUAAAGUUGUUAGACCUCACUGAGUCAUUUGUUUGGCAUGUAUACUGGAGUUGAUUCAAGAUAUCAUCGUCUUAAUAUUUGAAGAACAAUGUUAAAAUGUUGAUGUCUUCAAUUCUUUCUAGUCAAACUAGAUUUUUACUAGGUCGAUUAGAUCAAACUUUAACUUACUUAGUUGAUUGGAUCAUAUAAAAGUAAAAUCUAACCCAAUUUAGCUUAACACCUAAGCUAGGAGAGGGCUAAACUCAAAAUGUCUAUGAUUUUAAUUGAAAUUCAUUAAAACAUUAACAACACCUGUAAAUACAUUUUUCUUUUUGCCAUCAAAUUUAAUUUUUUAUCAUACCUACAAUGUAGCUUGGUUAAGUUAAUUAUGGAUCAUCUUACUACUUUUGUUUUUCAAAUUUUGUCAAGAAAUACUGCUAAAACACAUAUUAGCAACAAUUAUAUAUAUAUAUAUAUAUAUAAAUUAAUCCUACCUCAUGCAAAACACGUGCCACUAGCUAGGUUAAUUUAAAGCACCACUUGCUUUGCGGUAUUGGAGAGAAUGUAGUCAUCAUAGAUUCUGUUUGGAAAACUGAUCUUCGAAGAGAUUAGGAGCUGGAUAUUGUCUUCCUCUUCCUCUUUUUUAAUAUUUAUCUAUAUCAUAUUCCUCGUCUUAUUCUUCACCACUGUAAAGGGAUAUUUGAAAGGAAAAAAAAAUUGUAAAGUUUUAUUGUGUUUUUACUUUCCCGUCAUAUAUAGUUUUAAAAAAUACAUUUAAAAUCCUAGGUCAAAUAAAAAUUUAAAAAUAAUAAUAAGAAAAUAUUAUCAUAUAUAAUAUAACACAAAUAAUAACUAUAACUAUGAUAUCAAUGUUCACUAGGGUUCCAGAUUAUAGCUAUUUGAUUAUAGAAUUAAAAAGUGAGUCAGCCAGAAGGUAGUUAAUUGGCAUUUCACAGACAUAAAAUGGGUGUUUAUAAGUGAGGUGGUAAUUAUUUUUUAAAGUGUUUUUUGACUUGAAAAUGCAUCAAAAUAAUAUUUUUUAUUUUUAAAAGAUUAAUUUUGACAUUAACACAUCAAUAAUUUGAAGUAAAGAAAAAAAUAAUUUUUUUUUUUUAAAAACCUUUUGAAAUAUAAAAACAAAUAGCCAUAAUAACAAGCAAAACAUCAGAUGCAGUUAAUGAUUCUUAUAAGAUUUAAUCAAUUAUUUUUGGAACACGACAGUUAAAACCUUUGAAAUUGAAGCAUGCACCAUAAAAUGAUGAUGAUGGCCUUGCUGAACUGAACCAGAUUGCCUCAGGUUGUGGCUUACGUCGCCUUGCGUUGUGAUAGGAAAGACGUCUACGACAGCUUCGCUUCUUGUCAUCAAACUCUGACAAUUCACGGAACCUAAACAAAUUUUGCAUCCUAAAUGCAGCAGCAGCAGCAGACUUUAGCCGUAGAUAAUAACAUCAGAAAGCUUAGCAAAAGCAACAAAGCUAAAUCAUGGAGAUUAAAAAUGAAUAAUUACUAAGAAUUCCCCAAGAAUCAAGAUUCAUGAGAGUGUUACGUAUCUGGAUGACAGAAUAGUGGGAGAUGUUGCAACAAGAAAAAGACUACUAUGGGGAGGCAAGAAGGAGCGGGAAGUAGAGACGCCAGGAGCACACAACCUGCUGUUUAGUUAUUAAUAUUCUUUUAGUUAGUUGGAGUACAUUCGGUUAGCAGAGUUUGUUAAUCACUUUGAGUUAGUUGGAUUAGUACAAUUUCGAUUUCAUUUCUCUCUUCUCUGCUAAUAUCAUUCUGCUUCUUAGCCUCAUCUUCUUGAUUUGUUAAGUGAUCUUAACAAUUGAUAUCAGAGCCUUAAGAUCUAACACUAUGAUGAAAAAUCAUAAGCUGAAAAACAUUGAAGAACACUGCAAGAAAUUGGAGGAGCGAAUGCAAAUCCUUCAACAAGAACUCUAAGAAUCCCUGGUCGAUCAACAAAACAAAUGGCAGGAACAACUCGGUGAACAAUUAAAGUUGGAAGACUAAUUAGAUUAGUGCUCAAAUUGAAACACUGUCGAAUCAAUUUCAAACAUUCCUUGCUCAUCAGAUGACAGGGAAGGAUGUGGGAAGCACUUCUAGAGGAAUCUUACAGGCACUAGCAAGCGGCAGUCUUGAAGGAAUGUUAUCAAGGGGAAAAGGUCCUGCUAGGGGAGAUCAAACUUAUGGCCAGGAGCAGUAGAGAGUGGUGCAUAAUGCUGCUCUUCCAAGGAUGGAUCUGACAACAUUUCGAGGAGAUAAUCCUAGGGGUUGGUUAAGGAGGUGCAAGAAGUUUUUUAGCCUCAACUCAACUCCAUUUCAGUAGUGGGUAGAACUAGCAUCUAUUUACUUGGAAGGAAAGGCAUAAAUCUGGUUUGAAGGCUAUAUGCGUGGGGUAAUUCACUGGUUACUAUGCGCACAACACAGUAACAAGCUAUCUAUGGGCCGAUUCUGGCCUAGUUUCUUUUGGGCUAGGCCAGGCCCAGUUUUUUUGGGAUUUGUACUAUUUCCUCGCGUAUUUUUAUGCCUUUUUUAUUAAUUAGUAUUGGAAUAUAUUUUUAUGUCAUUAAAAAUACAAAAUCUGGUAUUAAAAUACCCGGUUUUCGUCAAAACUUCCAAAAAUACAAAAAAAAUUGAAAAUAGAAAAAAUGUUUUUGUGCAUACGGCCAAGAGUCUCAAAGCUAAAAAAAAUCAUAUUGUGUUUUUCAUACACCAAAAAACAAUGUUUUAGCAUGCAUUUUGGCUUUAAUAACCAGUUUAUUAAAGUCCAGAGAACAUUGACCAAAAUUUAAAAAACAACAAAAAUUUUAUUUUGUUUUGUUUUAAUAUCAGGGAUUAUGAAUUUAUACGUAAAACGUAUUCCCGAUAUUAAAAAGGUAUUUUCUUUUGACAACAUAGAACAGUUAGGUUUGUACCCGAUAAGAUAAGAACCUUCUUAUUGAAGAGGGCUUUUCUUGACCCUUUAGACGGACCAACAAUUAGAAAACACAACAAGACCAUAAUUUUUAUCAAACAUUAAAACAAUGCAGCUUACCUUAGGUAGGGCGUAGUGGGGGUGCUAAUACCUUCCCUUUACGCAACCAGUCUCCGUACUCGAUCUCUGAGACUAGUUAGGGUUCCUAGUGACCAAAAUACUAGGUGGCGACUCCCAGUCCAUAUUUUACUGAUAAGAGACAAGAAUUCCUUGUCUCUCCAUAUUUGCCAGACAGACCUUUACCAUUUUCGUUGUGAAUGGUGGACGAUCGUCGCGACGCCGCACACGUGCGACAAUAUGGUUGGUGGGGCAGUUUUUUCUGGUAGAGGUAACAACAAUACCACAUCAGGUACUUGCUAAUGCAGAAAUAACAAGGUUAUUGGCAGACUAUGCAGUUGCUUUUCAAGAACCAACAUCAUUGCCACCUACCAGGAAACAUGAUCAUAGAAUUCCACUAACAACAGGAGCUCAACCCGUUAAUUGCAAACCAUAUAAGAGCUCUUUCUUUCAAAAGGGGGAGAUCGAAAUGAUGGUCAAGGAGAUGCUACACAACAACAUAAUACAACCCAAUGUUAAUCCCUUUGCCUCUUCUAUUCUUUUGGUGAAGAAGAAGGACAACACAUGGCGUUUUUGUGUAGACUUUCGACUGCUGAAUGAAAAAAUUUCUUAGUAUUCUUUGACGAUAUUCUCAUUUAUAGUUCCUCUCUAAAAGAACACAUCAGUCAUUUGAAGCAAGUCUUGGACACUCUUAAAACUAACCAACUGUAUGCGAAGAGAUUCAAGUGCACAUUUGCAGAGCCGCAAGUAGAGUAUUUGGGGCAUAUAAUUUCAGCUGAAGGGGUAGCCACUAAUCCUAAGAAGAAACAGGCAGUACAGGAGUGGCCAAUUCCAAAAUCCAUUAAGAAGCUAAGGGGAUUCCUUGGCCUAGCUGGUUAUUAUUGAAAAUUCAUUAGGAAAUUUGGUAUUAUUAGCAAGCCUUUGACAAAUAUGCUCAAGAAGAAUAACUUCAUUUGGCAUGAAGGAGCACUAGAGGCUUUUCGCAACCUGAAACAAGCAUUGUGUAAGGCUUCAAUCAUGGCCUUGCCGGACUUUACCAAACCGUUUGUGCUGGAACCAGACGCUUGUGAUACUGGAAUUGGAGCAGUACUUAGCCAGGAAGGAAGACCAUUAGCAUUUUUUAGCAAGGCCUUGGGAGUCAAACACUUGAGGCUAUCCAUUUACGAGAAGGAAUACCUUGCUAUUCUAAUGGCAGUCGACAAGUGGAGGCAUUACUUGGAACAAGAUCAGUUUGUCAUUCAAACUUAUCAUGAAAGUCUGACGUAUCUACUUGAUCAGAAAAUUCACACUCCUAUUCAAAAGAAGGGGCUAACUAAGCUAUGGGGGUUGAAUUAUCGGAUCAGGUACAGAAAAGGAAAGAAGAAUAAGGCUACAGAUGCCUUAUCUAGGAGGAAUAUACAGGGGGAAGAAGGUUGUCAAGGAAAUAAAAUGGAAGGGGGAAGGUUCACCGCCAUAACACAAAUAACUCCCUCCUGGUAUGACAAGAUUUAUGCCUCUUAUAAAGACGAUGCCAAGUUGCAGGAUAUAAUGAGGAGUAAACUGGUAGAUGCUGCACAAUCUCUCAACUUCAUAUGUUGAAGGAGUGAUUAAGUAUAAGGGGAGAGUUGUUAUAGGAUCUGCAGGGUUAUUAAAGGAAGAACUCAUCAAGUCUACCUAUGAUUCCUACAUUGGAGGACAUGCUAGGAUCCAAAAUACAUACAGACGACUUAAGGCUCACUUCUACUGGCCUUGUAUGACGAAAUUAGUGCAAGAAAUAGUUCAACACUGUGACAUUUGUAAACAAGCUAAGGCCGAAAGGGUCCCUUAUCCUGGAUUGUUACAGGCUCUUCCAGUUCCAAGUGGUUCUUGGCAGGAUAUAACCAUGGAUUUCAUAGAAGGAUUUCCAAGGUCAGAAGGCAAGGAUACCAUUAUGGUCAUUGUUGAUCGAUUUACGAAGUAUGGGCAUUUUAUCACAUUAGCCCAUCCCUUCACAGCUCAAGAGGUGGCUAAAUUUUUUCUGGAUCACAUUUAUAAGUUACAUGGCUUGCCUGCCACAGUAUUAACUGAUAGAGAUAAAAUUUUCACAAGCUUGUUCUGGAGAGAAUUGUUUAGACAUUUGGGCAUAAAGUUGUUACUAAACACCUCCUAUCAUCCUCUAACGGAUGGUCUGACCGAGAGGGUGAAUCAAUUCCUAGAGACUUACCUAAGGUGCAUCACUAUACAUUGUCCCAAAAGUGGAACACUUGGAUAUCGACAGCACAAUGGUGGUACAACAGUAGCUUCCACUCGGCUAUCAACAUGUCCCCAUUGCAAGCAUUAUAUGGAUAUGAACCCCCGGUAAGGGAGAUGGUACUCAUUGAGGCUACUCAAGUAGCUAUUGUGGAAGAAUGGAUGCAGAGAAGGCUUAAUAUGGAUCAGUUGAUCAAGGGGCUGUUGGAGGGGGUGAGGAAUAGAAUGAAACAGGUGGCAGAUAGGAGGUGUUCGGAAAGGACAUUCAUGGUGGGAGAUUGGGUCUUCCUAAAAAUUCAGCCUUACAGGCAGGGCAGUGUCAUGUACAGGAAGAAUUUCAAGCUAAAUCCCAGGUAUUAUGGCCCUUACCAAGUUAUUGAACGGAUUGGAGCUGUAGCUUACAAGCUCAAGUUACCAGAGGGGCGUGCAGUGCAUCCUGUGUUCCAUGUAUCGCUAUUAAGAAAGAAGGUGGGAGAGGUGGCCAUAGUUUCCCAAGCCCUGCGGAUCGUAGAUGAAGAAGGCAGAGUUAAGGUUUAUCCAGUCACCAUACUAGAAAGGAAGCUUAUGAAGAAAGAUAAUAGAGCCGUGGUGGCAGGCUUAAUUCAAUGGUCUAACUCAUUUCCUGAAGAUGCAACAUGGGAAGAAUUGACAGAAAUACAAUUGCAAUUUCCAGAAUUCAGUAUUGACCCUUAAUUGUCAAGAUUGUAGAUUCUUGAGCCAAGAAUCUUUUCGAGGAAGAGUUAUUGUUACGUAUCUGGAUGACAGAAUAGUGGGAGAAGUUGCAACAAGAAGAAAACUACUAUGGGGAGGCAAGAAGGAGCGGGAAGUAGAGACGCCAGGAGCACACAACCUACUGUUUAUUUAUUAAUAUUCCGUUUGUUAGUUGGAGUACAUUUAGUUAGAGUUAGUUGGAUUAAUCUGUUAGUAGUCAAUGUGGAUUACUAUGAAAGCACAUUGUAUGGAUUAUAUUGGAUAUGAAUAGAUUGCAGUCCAAUUUUGAUCUCAUUUCUCUCUUCUCUGCUAAUAUCAUUCUGCUUCUUAGCCUCAUCUUCUUGAUUUGUUAAGUGAUCUUAACAGAGAGAACCUGCCUGCUGCACUUUUUUUUGGAUUCCUGAAAAGGAUUUGUGUUCAAGAAUUCAUUAUGAAUGAUAAUUUUGUUAUUUUGAGAUUCCAAAGAGUUUUUAGUCAUUAAAAUAAUAAACUUGUAAAUAAGGAGAUAUAUUUUGUUGGCUUUUUUUUUUAAAAGGAUAUUAAAGGUAAAUGCACAUAUAAAAUUUAUGAUAUAAAAUAUAAUUUUUCAAACCAUAAUAAAAAAUAUAUAUAAUUGCGACCAAACCUAAGAAAAUCUUUUGUGAUUAUUGGUAAGAAUAAAUAAGAGCAUGGAUUAAUGGUAAAAAGAGAAUCACGUAUUAAACACAAAAGAUAAAUUAUUUUGAAUUCAACAAUUUAACAUGACAUGGAAGGAACAUGCAAUAGAGAGAGGAUCUAAUUUAACAUGUCGUACACAAUAAUAACUUAAUAUAUAGCUUCUUCUUUUUUUCUUUUUAAUUUUGGUACAAUAAAAAGCUCUUCAAAUAUGUAGAAUAAAAGCCCAAUCUACUUAGAUAUAACAUAUUUAGAGUAUGAGAUGAGAUCAGCUUAUACUGCAAAUAGUUUAUUACUGAGUUAUUGCGUAAUAAAUUAAUUGGAAUAGAGAGCAUGUAUCCCAUCAAUAUCAUCCUGAGCGAGAUCUCUUUUCUUCUUUCCAGGUGCUAUCGUUGGAUACAUGAUGGCUUCGGGAUGAUCUUUACUAUGAUAAAGGCCAAGCAGAUGUCCUAUUUCAUGAACAGUAACGGAUUCCAGGUCAGUUUGAUCCAUUGCGGGGUCAGUGCUCCAGUUCUCGUCUGCAUCGUAAUGGAGACGGCCGUCUUGUGGAAAAAAACCAUGAGCCAGUUGUUUCCCUGGUCCAUCAAAAGGAUCCUGAUCCCCAUGAUCGCCGCUGAAGAACUCAAUUACAAUAUCUGCUGAUGCACCGUCAGUCGCCUCCUGGAAAGUGAAUGGAGAAACCUUUGCCCAUGUUUGGAAAGCGUUUGAGCAGACCGACCUCAAGGUGUCCGAACCAACAACUUGGACACCCGAGCCAAAUCUGUAGGUCAGAGCAUACUUGGAAGGUGGCCACUUUCGUGUCCCGAAAUCAUAAUGAACAACCAUGUGGAACUUGUUGUGUUUUGAUGUAGUGCUGUUCGGUUUAGUGGACGGAGUGUUUAUGAUAUCAGGCAUUCCACAUCGUGGAAUCAUCAUUUGUUGUAUGGUACUAGAGUCAAGGUUACCAGUAACAUUCAGGUGAAAAUAUUCUUGGUAUGUUUUGAGUGCUAGCUCCAAGUGGUCAUCAAAAUCACUGCUUGUGAGAGUGAUAUCACUUGGGUAGUACCCAAACUUUUUGAGGUACUGUUUGAGCUCAACAAGCCCUUGCACAGUUUGGCCCUUUUGAACCCCCUCCAGCCCUUGAAGGAAGCUGCUAAAAGAUUGCCGAUGCUCGGGUUUCAAGGUUCUUGCCUGACCUCUGAAGGACUGGAU